UUGCCGCCAAGCCACCUCGCCGACCAAUCCUGCUACAGCGUCGCCAGACGAGAUAAGGAAGCCACCGCGUCUCCCAAAUAUCUCCACCCACUCCCCACUCCUCACUCCCUCUGGACGCCCCUCUCUCCCUCGUCACUCUCUCUCUCUCGCCCAGAUCCGCCACGACCACCACCGUCGUCGCCAAGAACUCCAUCGCCCCUGCGGCCACCGUUGCAUCCCGCGGGCUAGGAGGUUGCCCUGGAGCUCCGUCGAGCUUCGCUGCUUCGGCUACAAGGGCCGGUUCGAGCUUAGCGCCCCGGCAACGACAAGAUCAAGCUCUUCUUCCUCCUGUGGUCGCUGCCGUUUUCAUUGAACUGCUUCACUCCGGCCUCCCCCGGCUUCACCGACUCGCCCGCGAGAACCACUGUGAGCGUUCCCCCAUUUCCCAUAGUUCGCUUUGCCCCGCACGCGCCCUCUGGCUAGCUGCUGCCGUGACCAUGCCCCGUCCGAAGCUCUGCUUCCGCCGCUAUGUCUGUUGCCACUAUUGUAGUUAGCUCCGUACUAAACUAACACCAUUGCCAUGCUCCUGGGGAUCCAGGGCAGCGCGUGCGCCCCGUAGAUGGCAGUGCCCGUGGCUUCAAUUCUAUCCAACCCAAGCUGUGACCGCCGCGGGACAUCGCCGAGCCGAUAACACCGUCCACCCCCGUGCCUCCUACCUACUCGGGUUGACUCGCGCCGUCGCCCUCAUCCAGCAACAGCUCCUCGCGGACCAAGUGCCCGCCGGGAGGCCAAACCUGAGCCGCCCUGCCCCGACAUAUGGUCGACGGCGUACCCGACGCGCCCGCCGCCGCCCGCGAAAUCCCUUGGACGCGCCCGGAGAUCCGCUUCGUCGCCCGGCCACGCCCCCGAGCGCGCCGACCCGCGCCUCUGCCACUGCUCACCCGCACCGCCGCGCGCGCCCGCGUGCUUCCCCACCGCGCUUCGCUCCGGCCCGCGCCCAGCACGCCCCGCCUGCGCUCGCCCGUGCCUCCCCCCUGCAUCACGCCAUCCGUCCCCCGAUCACGCAUCGUGCUGCUGCUGCCUCUAGCGCUGCUGCCUGCUGCUACUAGCGCAGCGCUGCUAGCUAGCUUCACUGAUUUUACACUUCCUAGCCCUCUAAACAGCCCCUAAACAGUGGCUAAACAUCUACUAGCAGGAGAAAGAAUAUUCUGGGGAGGUAGUACACUUGACAAUGUUCAGAUGUUUCCAUUGGACCAAAUCCAUUUGAUGCUUGGUUUAAAUCAUAAGAAAAUCACAAAUUUCUACAUUCUAUGAGCGGAAAAGCAGAAAACAGAAAUGCUGCAGUAGCCUUUUCAAACAAAGUCGUGAAUAAGCAAAUGGAUGCUAACAUAGCUGCACUUGUUACUAACAUGUAGAUCGCAGAGAAAUGCUCACAAUUGAUAUAAGGCACAAAAUCAUUGGACGUACAAAACAAUAGCUAUAGCCUCCGGAAAACCGCUAAAUGAUGUUUAAAAAAGCUGACGAAUUCUCAGACUUAGCAAAAUUUCAGGAAUUUUUCGGGUAUUGUUAGAUCUUUGAAAAAUCUUAGAAAUUAAACCGUAUCUCGGAUGAAAAAAUUUUGUACAUGAAAGUUGCUCAGAACGACGAGACGAACCUGGAUGCGCAGCCCGUUCGUCCACCAUGCCUCCCUAGCAUAGCGAACACACAACUUUCCCCUCCGUUUCAUCUGUCCGAAAAGCGGAACACUGGGAAUACAUUCCCGGAUGUUUCCCCCCUUCGCCGGUAUCACCUCCUACCGUGUUAGGUCACCCCUAGCACCGCGUAUUGUCAUGUUAUGCCUUGUGAUGUUUUGAUUGCACUGCUAUUUAUUGUGUUCCCUUCCGUUACUUCUUUCCGGUAGACCCCGAGACCGCUGCCGGUACCCUUGUUGUCGACUACGGUGACGACGACCCCUCCUUGCCAGAGCAACCAGGCAAGCAAACCCUCCUUGAGCAUUCCGAUAUCACCCAUUUCUUUCCCUCUCAUGCUUGCAUUAGAACUGCUACUGCUUUCUGUAUGAUCCUACUCUGAUGCAUAGCCUGUUUUGUUACCUGCUUUCAUACCUUACCUGCUUAUCCCAAACUACUUAGUAUAGGUUGGUUAAAGAUCCAUCAGUGACCCCACCUUGUCCCAGUUGCCUUGCUUUAUGUUCGAUGACUCGAUCAAUGUGAUCGACGUCCAGGCCCCGACACCGCACAUCACCCCACCUAGUUGUACGACUCUGCAGAGUUACCAUCGAGUGCCGAGGGUGGAACCUCUUACAUCACUCCUGAUGAGUCCUCUGUAGUGUAGCUAUCCGGUCGUGGUCAUCGAGGGUGAUUUCCUCCUUAACCACUUCUGAUACGGCUCUGUCGUGCAACCCCUCAAGCGUGAACCUCGAGGGUGGAUCCUCUUACGUUCACCUUGAUGACAACAUCGAGUGGAAUUCACUGGGGAUGAUUCCUCGGGUUUUCCCCUUGGUGUUAGACACACAGUUACUAUGGUUACUAUGACUUUGCACUGAGCCUUGUUACUAAAGAUGGGUCGGCCCUGAGGGGUACCCGCGCGAGCUUAUAGUGAGUGAUGUGGAGUCGGGUUGACCUGGAAAGUGCCCGCGAGAUACUUACGAGGCGUGGCCGGGCAUUCUUAGCCCUUGCCACAAGUACUCGAGACAGGGCGACGGGGUCACAUCGAUCGUGAGUCUCUGCUCGUUACCGCGUGCUCCUAAUCCACUAUGGUUUGGAUAUUUGAUCCGAGGGGCCUCUGGCCUGAUAGCACUAACCAUCACGUGGGCAUAGUAUGGGCGUUCUGCGUCAUAUACAUCAGCCGAAGCUUAAUAGACGUCAGCGACUGAGCGGCGCGCACCGGGUUGGACUGCGUAAGCUCCUGCCUUGUUGAAGGAGGUAGCUAGGUCUGCUCACCGGCCACCCACGCAACGUGCAGGAGUUCCCGGGGCGAUGGCCCAUGACCCCUGGGGGCAUAGGUUUAGUCCGUCGUGCUGGCCUCUCUAUUAAGCCUAGGUCGGGUUGCGGUGUAUUGUUUGGCCGAGGCCGGGCAUGACCCAGGAAAGUGUGUCCGGCUGAAGUUAAUCGAGCGUGGUGGGUAAGUUGGUGCACCCCUGCAGGGAAGAAAACAUCUAUCGACAGCCUGUCCUACGGUAACGGACACUUGGAGUUGUAUCCCGAUCAAUACAACUAGAACUGGAUCCUUGUGAUGAGAACUGGAUGGUGAUGAGAAUUGGAUUGUGAUGAUAACUGGAUAGUAUGGCUCUGGGAUUGCUUUCUCGCAGGGAGUCGAGAAAGGAUCUCUGGCCGAGGUUGAUAACACUACUACUUUACAUUAUGUUGAUCUAUACUGUUCUAUAUGCUUGAAGAUGCUUGAAGAUGCUAGUCUUUGAUAGGCUAGGCCUUUCCCCUUGUUUCUGGCAUUCUGCAGUUUAGUCCACAGAUACAACCCUUUUCCCUUUGAUACAGAUGCAUACUUAGUUUAGAUCUGAUGUAAGUCUUGCGAGUACUUUGGAUGAGUACUCACGGUUGCUUUGCUACUUCUUUUCCCCCAUACCCGAUUGUUGCGACCAGAUGACGGAUCCCAGGAGCCAGACGACGCAACUGAUGACUACUACUACCCGAAGGAUGCCUACUACUAUGUGAAGACCGCACACGACUAGGAGUAGUCAGGAGGCUCCCAGGCAGGAGGCCUUGCCUUUUCGAUCAUUGUUGCUUUUUGUGCUAGCCUUCUUAAGGCAAUCUUGUUUAACUCAUGUGUGUACUCAGAUAUUGUUGCUUUCGCUGACUCUUGUGUAUUCGAGCUGAUGUAUUCGAGCCCUCGAGGCCCCUGGCUUGUAAUAUAAAGCUUGUAUUAUUUUGAUUUGUGUCUAGAGUUGUGUUGUGAUAUCUUCCCGUGAGUCCUUGAUCUUGAUCGCACACAUUUGCGUGUAUGAUUAGUGUACGAUUGAAUUGAGGGCGUCACAAGUUGGUAUCAGAGCCAACUGCCUGUAGGUAGCUCCCUUUCCAACUCCUUGGCCGAAGUUGAGUCUAGUCGAUGGAAACUAUUUUACUAACAUGGUUGCACGGCCCAUGGGCCCACGUCGCCAUUGGGUGAUAUUAGGAUCUUUUAUUCCUCAUCUAUACUCUGGGACGCCGAUCCCUCUUCUAUUCGGGUUAAAUGGUUUUACUAACUCGAACAUUAGGAUCUCGUGAUCACAUCCGCUCGGAGAGCCCCUCAUUUCAGAUGAUCGCCUGCUGCAUCAGAAGAUUCCGAAGAUACUCUAUGAUAUUUCUCUCGAGACUUUGUGCAUGUUGCCUUUGCAAUUCCCUACCACCGAAAUAUCCUUAUGGAUAACUACACACACUUGCCAAUCUUACAUUCUAUCCCAUUGAUCUUGUUAUUACAAUAUUCUCUGAACUGCUCUCCUUUGUUCCAAGAAUCCUUUGAGCUUACUGCCUUGCAGUUCUGUCGGCGUUCUGGGAACGGGGGUCCCCAGACUUGCCUGCCUGCGGCCUGCGGCGUGGCUCAAAAGGGGGCCCAACGCGGCCCAUCUUCAUCAACACAGACCUAAGACCCUCACGAGGGGCCAAGCCUCGCGGGGCGGACGACACGGAGCUUCCUCAGGCACGGCCUCGUCGGGCUGGCUCGCGAGGAGGCGGAGAGAUCAAGGCGGGGUACCUCACGAGGUGCCCGUGACGCAAGCCAUGACGACCAAGGGUGCCAGGCGGGCGCCAGCCCGCGUAGUGUCCUCCUUUCCUCUUUGGUGCAAAGGGGGCAAGCGCAGGCGAGAGCAUCAAGCAAAGGCACCCGUUUCGGUGCAACAAUACCAAGACCACUCCAACGGUAGGAAGGAAGUCAUUGUGGAGCCCAAGCCAGCGUCACCACCAGAGCCUUUGGCAGGCGAGGACCAACUUUAGUCAGGAUAAGUGUACCAGAUGUCCCCCUUCAAAAUGGCCAAUUGUUGGCGCCCUUCCCGCUCAAUAUUUGGGAAGAGGCCCAGGGCCUUUGCCUAUGAAUAGGACUAGCCACCCCCAGGGUAGAAAGGGGGGGAAGAAGGUAAUCAAGAAGGGAGAAACUAGCUAGGAUCGGAUCGGGUAGCAUCAGAGAGAGAGAGAGAGAAGGGUGAUUGAACUCCUCCUAGCAGUUCAUCCCCUCAGCCAAGAACAGACCCUCGUGAGGCUGUUCUUCCUUGUAUUGCUCAUCAUCAUCAGCCCAAGAGGCAAUCCACCACACCACACACUGGAGUAGGGUAUUACACCACAGCGGUGGCCCGAACCAGUAUAAACCUUGUGUCUCUUGCGUUGUUCUUUCCGUAGUUCAGAUCCUAACAUGGCGGAGGGGUGCAGGUAGGUAGGAGGCAGAAUCUCCGCGCGCACCCCAGUGUUCGAACCUCAAGGGUCUGCCAGAACCCGAAAUCCGACAUUUGGCGCGCCAGGUAGGGGUGCACCGGAAUUUUCCCUUCCGCCACCGCCACGACCUGCCUUGCGAUGAGUAGUGCGUCACCCGCUCCGGCCGCCGACGCCAGUACGGGGGCCAGGGGGCUCAGAGCCCUGGUCCCAGCCCUGCAAUGGGUACGGUGGCCGGACAAGUUCAAGCCAACGACGCCGCCGUGCUGCAGCGACGCGACUGAUCCGCUGGCCUUCUUGCUGGCGUACGAGGAGGCCAUCCUCGAAGCCGGAGGUGACGAUAGGGUCAUAGCCAGCUGGCUCCCCAUGGCCCUCACCGGCGCUCCGCGCGCAUGGCUGCUCCACCUGCCGGCAGCCUUCAUGGCCUCUUAGGAAGAGCUCCGCAACCUCUCCCCCGCCCACCACGCUACACCAACACCCCCGGUCGUCGCGGCCCUCCUGGGCGGCUCGCAGGUGCCGCCUACAAGUCACCACGUCAAGCCGUUCAUCCGCCGGGUCAACACCGCUUCCACGCGGCAGGGGGCUCUCCCGGACCGGGCGGCGCCCAAGGCCGGCCUGACCUUUAGCUCGGAGGACCACCCCUCCAACUCGGCCUGCUCGGGUGCGCUCCCCAUGCUGUGCACCUCCACCAUCUGUCAGGUGGCCGUCACCAGAACUCUCAUCGAUGGCGGUGCGGGACUUAGCGUGCUCUCGGUUGAGGCCUUCAACCUCCUCUACAUACCCCUGGAACGGCUGCAACCCAGCCGGCCCUUCUCAGGCGUUGGGGGCGGAUCAUCCAGCUCCUUGGGACAGAUCCGGCUCCCAGUAACCUUCGGCACCUACAACAACUUCCGCAUGGAGCUGGUCGACUUUGACGUCGCCCCCAUCGGCCUCCCCUACAACGCCAUCCUCGGCUACCCAGCGCUGGCUCAGUUCAUGGCCGCGACGCACCCGGCGUACAACCUCAUGAAGAUGCCCGGGAGCAGCGGUGUCCUCAUCGUGCACGGGGACACCGGAGACGCGCUGCGAGUGCUCAAGCUCGCCUUCCAGACGGCGGCGUCGGCACAGCCCACCGACUCGGAGAACCUCGAGCCCAAGGGGGCUGCACCCGCCAAGAAGAAACAGUUGUUCACCCAAGACAAGGCCGAAACAAAGCAGGUACCCGUCGAUGAGGACGGGUCCACCAAUGCCACUUUCACCAUAGGCGCCAACCUCGAGCCCGAGCAGGAGGAGGCCCUGGUCAGGUUCCUGCACGCAAACAAGAAGGUAUUCGCUUGGGAGCCUGACCAGUUGGCGGGGAUCGCUAGGAGCGUAAUCGAGCAUCACCUCAACGUGUGCCCCAACGUGUGCCCUGUGAAGCAGAAGGCAAGGCGGCAGUCCACAGAAAAGCAGGCCUUCAUCGUCCAAGAGACCCACAAACUAGAAGCUGCUGGGGUCAUUCGCGAGGUCCGAUACCCGGAUUGGUUGGCCAACCCUGUCGUUGUGCCAAAGAAGGGAGGGAAGGAGCGCAUGUGCGUCGACUUCACCAACUUCAACAAGGCAUGCCUGCAAGAUCCGUUCCCGCUCCCCCGCAUCGACCAGAUCGUCGAUUCCACCGCAGAAUGCGACCUGCUAUGCUUCUUGGAUGCCUUCUCUAGGUAUCACCAGAUCAAGAUGGCGGUAGAAUACGUCGAAAAGACAGCCUUCCUAACCCCGUGUGGGGUGUACUGCUACACAUGCAUGCCAUUCGGGCUGCGUAACGCAGGGGCGACCUUUCAGCGGAUGAUGCACAUCACCUUGGGCCCGCAGCUCGGGAAGAAUGUUGAGGCUUACGUCGAUGACAUUGUGGUGAAGUCUCGGGAGGCCAGGACCCUGAUACAAGACCUGGAGGAAACCUUCGCGAGCCUCAACGCAGUGAACCUGCGGCUCAACCCAGAGAAGUGUGUGUUCGGAGUCCCCUCGGGCAAGCUCUUGGGUUUCCUCAUGUCCCACCGAGGCAUCGAGGCUAACCCGAAAAAGGUCAAGGCGGUCGAGGACAUGAGCCCGCCAAAGACCCUCAGAGAAAUGCAGAAGCUCACUGGGCGUGUGACCGCGCUAGGGCGCUUCAUCUCCAAGUUGGGGGAGCGAGCGCUGCCCUUCUUCCAGCUAAUGAAGAAAAAGGGGCCCUUUGAAUGGACUGAAGAGGCCGACAAGGCGUUCCAGGAUCUCAAGAGAUACCUGACCAGCCCUCCGGUCAUGGUGGCUCCGCGCCCUCAAGAGCCCCUGGUGCUUUACCUCGCCGCCACUCCCUACUCCGCCAGCGCAGCCCUGGUGGCGGUUAGGGAGGAGCAUCAAAUCAAAACCACGGCAGCAGCCCGGGACAAGGCAAAGCAGGAACAAGGAAGGCCCACAGGAACCGCCACCGCGGCUGAGGAGGAUCAGCCGCCGUAGAGGAGUGCACCGGAGGCGGAAGAGGCCCCUCUCCCAGAUGGCCAGCCUCAGGAGGCCUCAUCGCCUCAGGAGGCGCCAUGGUCUCCAGAGGGCGCCACCAGCACUGACGCACCCAACCUCAUUGAGCACCCAGUGUACUUCGUCAGCACGGUGUUGCGGGACGCGAGGGCACAGUACCCCAUGCCUCAGAAGCUCCUCCUCGCGCUACUGGUGGCCUCGCGCAAGCUGCGGCACUAUUUUCAGGGUCACCCCAUCAAGGUCGUCUCGUCAUAUCCCCUGGAGAGAGUGCUCAGGAGCCCUAACUCAGCUGGAAGGGUCGCUGAGUGGAACAUAAAACUGCAAGCAUUUCAGCUCGAAUUCAGCACGACCAGAGUCAUCAAGGGAGCAGCAUUAGCGGAUUUUGUGGCAGAAUGGACGGAGGCACCAGGCCUCAAGGCCGACGAGAAUCGGUCCCUCUCCCCGGGAAGCGAGGCGCUAGAAGGCUGGGUCAUGUACUUCGAUGGGGCGUUCUCCAGGCAUGGCGCUGGGGCUGGGGCGGUGCUUAUAUCGCCCACUCAGGACAAGCUCUACUACGCUGUACAGCUCUGUUUCCAGCAAGGCGAAAAGGUCUGCAACAACAUAACGAAGUAUGAAGGUUUAAUAGCGGGCUUGAAGGCCGCAGCUGCCCUGGGGGUGAAACGCCUCACCAUCAAGGGCGAUUUGCAGCUCCUUGUCAAUUUCUCCAACAAGGUGUACGAGCCGAAAGAUGAGCACAUGGAAGCCUACCUUGCGGAGGUCCGCAGGAUGGAGAAGCAGUUCUGGGGAUUGGAGUUGCAGCAUGUGCCCCGUGGCACCAAUCAGGAGGCCGACGACAUCGCCAAACGGGCGUCCAGGCGGUUACGUCAGGAGCCUGGCGUCUUCGAGGAGCAGCUCUUCAAGCCCUCAGCCCUGCCGUCAUUGUCAAACAUGGCUCAGCCUCGGGAGGAGCUCCCCCAGCCACUUGCCUCAGGAGCCCCGGUCUGUGGCCCGGCCUCAGGAGCACGCCUGCUCCUGACGAUGGAACCUCAGGAGGUGUCGGAUUUCGGGUUCCAGCAGACCCUUGAGGUUCGAACACUGGGGUGCGCGCGGAGAUUCUGCCUCCUACCUACCUGCACCCCUCCGCCAUGUUAGGAUCUGAACUAUGGAAAGAACAACGCAAGAGACACAAGGUUUAUACUGGUUCGGGCCACCGUUGUGGUGUAAUACCCUACUCCACUGUGUGGUGUGUUGAUUGCCUCUUGGGCUGAUGAUGGUGAACAAUACAAGGAAGAAAGGCCUCGCGAGGGCCUGUUCUUGGCUGGGGCGAUGAACUGCUGGGUGGAGUUCAGUCACCUUUCUCUCUUCUCUCUCUCUCUCAACCAACCGACCGAACUCCCUCCACCCUUAGCUAAUCGACCUCCCUUGCUAUGUGGGUGGCUGGUCCUAUUUAUAGAGGCCAUGGUCCUCUUCCCAAAUAUCGAGCGGGAAGGGAGCCAACAAUGGCGGGCUAAUUUGAAGGGGGACAACAAGUAUCAGCUAUCCUGACAAAAGUAGUCUUCGCCUGCGCAAAGCUCUGGUGAUGACGCCGUCUUGGGCUCCACGGUGACCUCCGUCUCGUAGUCCUCCUGGUGCCGGUCUCGUUGCACCGAAAUGGCAACCUUUGCCUGAUGCCUCGGUACUCUGCGGCUGCGCUUGCCCCCUUUGCACCGAAGAGGGAAGGAGGACGCUGCGCGGGCUGGCACCCGCCUGGCGCCCUGAGUCGUCAUGGCUUGCGUCACGGGCACCUCGUGAGGUACCCCGCCUUGAUCUCUCUGCCUCCUCGUUUGCCAGCCUGACGAGGCCGCGCCUGAGGAAGCUCCGCGUCGUCAGCCCCGUGAGGCUUGGCCCCUCGCGAGGGUCUUGGGUUUGUGUUGGUGAAGACGGGCCGUGCUGGGCCCCCCUUUGAGCCACGCCGCAGGCCGCAGGCAGGCAAGUCUGGGGACCCCCGUUCCCAGAACGCCGACAGUAGCCCCCGGGCCCACGGCGCGCCCGGACUUGGCCGUGCCGGGAGGCGAAAGGGCAAGAGCGAAGCGCCGCGGGCCUUAACAGCCUGCGGCCUUGGGCGCCGCGUGGCGGUUGAUUGGACGACGGCGUCUCCACAUCCCCAUGGCACCUCGGCAACUGCGCGGAUUGGACAAGUCCCUGCAUGCAAAGCGGGUCAUGAUUACCUGCGAUCGUGGGGGCCGUCAGUUGGCUCUCGCCAACUAUAAGUACUGAUCGACGCGCGCCCUUCCAGUACAUCUCCCCUUGCUUCUCCUUCUUCUCCAUGGCCCCGUCAAGGAGGUUCUCGGCCGCGGAGGAGGGGAAGGCCUGCCAGGUCGAGCAUGCCUCUCCUCCGCCCAAGCGCGGCCGAGGGCGCCCCCGCAAACAUCCUGUGGCCACCACGACAGCUCCCCGCGGCCGCGGAGACGCUUUCCAGCAUGGUGGCGGGCGGAUUACUGCGACCAGGGGGUGCGCUCCGGCUGCGCGUCCCCCCAUGCCAUGCUUCCGCGCUGCCGAGGUGCUGCCGGAGUUCAUCGUGUGGUCGGCGGAGCCGACUAGCACCCGGCUUCCUCUUCCUCACUUCCUCCUUGGCGAGCUCCCGGCCGGCGCCCUGGGUGGCCUCUGGCUUCAGGCCGACGGCUACUGCAGCUGGGCCUCGUGGGUUUCACUGGAGGUCUCCGCAGCCGGGAGCCUGGCCCUGGCCCACGGUUGGCAGUCGUUUGCCCGCGCGCGCGGCCUGUUCUAUCGGUGCACCCUACACUUCAGGUUCGACGUUGAUGCCACCCUCUACGUGAGGGUGUUUGGGGAAGAUGGUCGCCGCGCAGGGUGUUGCCCCGAGGGCGACGACCGCGGCUGGGGACCCGGCUCCGGUGAUGACGGAGAGGGCAGCGCUCGCGCGGCAGGCGGCGCUCAGGGUUCUUCAAGCUUCUCCGCCUCUUCUUCAGGCGGCGACUCUUCUAGCGGUGGCCGUGGUCAGCCCCCACGCUGCCGUAUCUGCUUGGGAGGUGGCAGCGUGUCCACCCACCGUCGCGCCCUGGUGAAGCACGAGAGGGAGUCCGCCUAAGCUCCGGAGGCAGCUCGGGUUUCCCUGGGAGCUGGUGUGAGGCGAGCUACACCAGAUUUGUUCUUUCUUUUCCUUCCUCCUGCGUAAAAAGGACAGUAGCGUGGGGCCCCACGGGGGCGUGUAUGGGUUAUUGCUGUUAAUCAUCGUUUUGCUUUCUUUAUCGUACCUUCCGGCUAUGUGCCCGCGCGUGGAUGGUUCCCGGCCCCAGCCGUGGGGGCGAUCGACCCAGGCCCUGUGUUUGUGUCGCGGUGCCCGAGGGGCACGGACUGGAGGGGUGCUCCUGCAAGGGGCCCAGGUCACGAACCCUUUGAAUGACUAGGAUAGGAACAUUCGCGAGGGCACUCGUCGGCCUCCCUCGCGAGGCCUUGCACAAGAGAAAUCGAGGCACAAGAACGAAAAGCCGAAGAACCACAAGCCAAAGACGGCAACAACUUCAAUAAAACUUCGAAUGAGAAGGAACAAGCCAACUGUGGAAAGCAAAUGAAAAGCCGCGUCCGACACCUAGUCUAGUCUUCGACGUCUUCUCACCAGCGCGGAGCUAAGUGCUGCCACUGGUCGUGGGAGGGAGCCCCAGGGCCUGAGGUCGGCGCUCCUGAGACUCCGGGGCGUGUACAAUCCCAACUCAUUAUUACGUGAGAGUGUCACGGGCGGCGAGCUUCACAGGCGUUGGCCUUCUUCACAGGCUCCGGGCCUUUUCCAAAACGCGACAGCUUCACAGGCACUCGCCUUGCUUCACAGGCUCCGGGCCUUUUCCAAAACGCGAUAGCUUCACAGGCACUCGCCUUGCUUCACAGGCUCUGGGCCUUUUCCAAAACGCGAUAGCUUCACAGGCACUCACCUUGCUUCACAGGCUCUGGGCCUUUUCCAAAACGCGAUAGCUUCAUAGGCACUCGCCUUGCUUCACAGGCUCUGGGCCUUUUCCAAAACGCGAUAGCUUCACAGGCACUCGCCUUGCUUCACAGGCUCUGGGCCUUUUCCAAAACGCGAUAGAUUCACAGGCACUCGCCUUGCUUCACAGGCUCUGGGCCUUUUCCAAAACGCGAUAGCUUCACAGGCACUCGCCUUGCUUCACAGGCUCUAGGCCUUUUUAGGGGUAGAACCUCCGGAGGUGCUGGAUGUUCCAUGCAUUCUAGACCGGCACUCCCUCCUGAGUCUCCAAGCGCGCGGAGCCGGGCCUGGAAACAUGAACAACCUUGAACGGGCCCUCCCACAUGGGAGAGAGCUUGUGUAGUCCCUCCCUGGAGAGAACCCGCCUGAGCACAAGGUCUUCUACCUCAAGAGUCCUGGGGCGGAUGUUGCGGCAGUGAUAUCGCCGCAGCGCUUGUUGGUACCUCGCCGCUCGCAGCGCGGCUUCUUGACGACGUUCCUCCCCCAGCACGAGGUCCAUCCCCCGCAUGGCGUCCUGCUGCGCCUCGUCGAACACCAGGACCCGCGCAGAGCGACGUCUCACCUCGUGAGGAAGGAUCGCUUCCGCUCCGUAGACCAGGAAGAACGGGGUCUCUCCAAUCGGCUUGGUCGCGGUGGUGCGGAUGGACCACAGCACGGACUGAAGCUCGUCGUACCAACCUCUGCCGCAGGCCUCCAGCUUCUUCUUGAACGUCCUGGUCUUGAGGCCCCUCAGGACCUCCGCGUUUGCCUGCUCGGCCUGGCCGUUGCUUCGGGGGUGCGCCACCGAAGCGUAGCAUAUCUGCGUCCCAAGGUUAGCACAGUAUGUUUUGAACAGCUUACUGGUGAACUACGAACCAUUGUCCGUGAUGAUGCGAUUCGGCACCCCGAACCGGCUCACGAUGCCCUUGAUGAACUUGACUGCGGAACCCGCGGGAAUGGUGCGAACAACCUCUACUUCAGCCCACUUGGUGAACUUGUCCACGACAACGUAAAGGUAGCGGUAGCCCCCUGGCGCCCGAGGAAACGGGCCCAAGAUGUCCAGUCCCCAGACUGCGAAUGGCCACGAAAGGGGGAUAGUCUGCAAGCCUCCUGCUGGCUGAUGGAUCUGCUUGGCGUGGAACUGGCAGGCUUCACAAGCUUUCACUAGUUCCACGACGUCAUUGAGCGCGGUGGGCCAAUAAAACCCACUGCGGAACGCCUUGCCGACGAGGGUCCGUGAUGAUGAAUGAUGUCUGCGGUCUCCGCCGUGUAUAUCUUCCAGCAGUUCUUUCCCUUGCUCCCUGGAGAUGCAGCGCAGGGAUACAUCGUUUGGUCGCUUCUGGUAGAGCUCUCCAUCUUUGAUGCAGUAUGUCGUGGCCUGGCGUGCCACUCGCUCUGCUUCCUCCUCCUUCUCCGGCAGGGUCCCUUGCGUUAAGUAGCUCCGGAGCUCUGCGAUCCAACAUCCCUCCUGAGGUUCUAUCGUCAGGAGUAGGCGUGCUCUCGAGGCCGGGCCACAGGCCGGAGCUCCCGAGGCAGGUGGCUGGGGGAGCUCCUCCCGGGGCUGAGCCGUGUUUGAUAAUGACGGCAGGACUGAAGGCUUGAAGAGUCGCUCCUCGAAAAUGCCAGGCUCCUGAGGUAACCGCCUGGACGCGCGUUUGGCGAUGUCAUCGGCUUCCUGAUUGGUGCCACGGGGCACAUGCUGCAACUCCAACCCCCAGAACUGCUUCUCCAUCCUGCGGAACUCCGCAAGGUAGGCUUCCAUGUGCUCAUCCUUCGGCUCGUACACCUUGUUGGAGAAGUUGACAAGGAGCUGCGAAUCACCCUUGAUGGUGAGGCGUUUCACCCCCAGGGCAGCUGCGGCCUUCAAGCCCACUAUUAGACCUUCAUACUUCGCUAUGUUGUUGGAGACCUUUUCACCUUGCUCGAAACAGAGCUGCACGGCGUAAUAGAGCUUGUCCUGAGUGGGCGAUAUAAGCACCGCCCCAGCCCCAGCGCCGUGCCUGGAGAACGGUCCAUCGAAGUACAUGACCCAGCCUUCUGGCGCCUCGCUUCCCGGGGACAGGGACCGAUCCUCGUCGGCCUUGAGGCCUGGCGCCUCCGUCCAUUCCGCCACAAAAUCCGCCAACGCUGCUCCCUUGAUGACUCUUGUCGUGCUGAAUUCGAGCUGAAACGCUUGCAGCUCUAUGUUCCACUCAGCGACCCUCCCAGCUGAAUUGGGGCUCCUGAGCACUCUCUCCAGGGGGUAUGACGAGACGACCUUGAUGGGGUGACCCUGAAAAUAGGGCCGCAGCUUGCGCGAGGCCACCAGUAGCGCAAGGAGGAGUUUUUGAGGCAUGAGGUACCGUGCCCUUGCAUCCCGCAACACCGUGCUGACGAAGUACACUAGGUGUUCAACGAGAUGGAGUGCGUCAGUGCUGGUGGCUCCCUUUGGAGACCUUGGCGCCUCUUGAGGCAGUGAAGACUCCUGAGUCUGGCCAUCUGGGAGUGGGGCCUAUUCCACUUCUGGUGCGCCCUUCUGUAACGUUUGAUCCUCCUCAGCCGCUGUAGCGGUCUCUGUGGGCCUUCCCCGUUCCUGUUCCGCCUCGUCCCGGGCCGCUGCUGCGGUUUUGAUUCGACGCUCCUCUCUGACUGCCACCAAGGCCGCGCUGGCGGAGUAGGGAGUGGCGGUGAGGUAAAGCACUAGGGGCUCUUGAGGGCGCGGAGCCACCAUGACCGACGGACUGGUCAGGUAUCUCUUGAGAUCCUGAAACGCCUUGUCGGCCUCUUCAGUCCACUCGAAGGGCCCCUUUUUCUUCAUUAGCUGGAAGAAAGGUAGCGCUCGCUCCCCCAACAUGGAGAUGAAGCGCCCUAGAACGGUCACGCGCCCCGUGAGCUUCUGCAUUUCUCUGAGGGUCUUUGGCGGGCUCAUGUCUUCCACUGCCUUGACCUUCUCCGGGUUAGCCUCGAUGCCUCGGUGGGACACGAGGAAACCCAAGAGCUUGCCCGAGGGGACUCCGAACACACACUUCUCUGGGUUGAGCCGUAGGUUCACUGCGUUGAGGCUCGCGAAGGUUUCCUCCAGGUCUUGUAUCAAGGUCCUGGCCUCCCGAGAUUUUACCAUGAUGUCAUCGACGUAAGCUUCGACAUUCUUCCCGAGCUGUGGGCUCAGGAUGAUGCGCAUCAGCCGCUGAAAGGUCGCCCCUGCGUUACGCAGCCCGAAUGGCAUGCAUGUGUAGCAGUACACCCCACACGGGGUUAGGAAGGCUGUCUUCUUGACGUCUUCUACCGCCAUCUUGAUCUGGUGAUACCUAGAGAAGGCAUCCAGGAAGCAUAACAGGUCGCAUUCCGCAGUGGAAUCGACGAUCUGGUCGAUGCGGGGGAGCGGGAACGGAUGUUGCGGGCAUGCUUUGUUGAGGUUGGCGAAGUCGACACACAUGCGCUCCUUCCCUCCCUUCUUCGACACAACGACAGGGUUGGCCAACCAAUCUGGGUAUCGGACCUCGCGAAUGACCCCAGCGGCCUCUAAUUUGCGGGUCUCCUGGACGAUGAAGGCCUGCUUUUCUGUGGACUGCCGCCUGGCCUUCUGCUUCACAGGGCGCACGUUGGGGCACACGUUGAGGUGAUGCUCGAUUACACUCCUGGGGAUCCCUGCCAACUAGUCUGGCUCCCAAGCGAAUACCUUUUUGUUUGCGCGCAGGAACCCGACCAGGGCCUCCUCCUGCUCGGGCUUGAGGUGGGCGCCUAUGGUGAAAGUGGCGUUGGUGGACCCAUCCUCAUCGACGGGUAUCUGCUUGGUUUCUGCCUUGUCUUGGGUGAACAAUUGCUUCUUCUUGGCGGGCGCAGCUCCCUUGGGCUCGGGGGCCUCCAAGUCGGCGGGCUGUGCCGACGCCGCUGUCUUGAAGACGAGCUUGAGCGCUCGCAGAGCAUCCCCGGUGUCCUCAUGCACAGUGAGGACACCGCUGCUUCCGGGCAUCUUCAUGAGGUUGUACGCAGGGUGCGUCGCCACCGUGAACUGGGCCAGCGCUGGGUAGCCGAGGAUGGCGUUGUAGGGGAGGCUAAUGGGGGCGAUGUCGUAGUCGACCAGCUCCGUGCGGAAGUUGUCGUAGGUGCCGAAGGUUACUGGGAGCCGGAUCUGUCCCAAGGAGCUGGAUGAUCUGCCCCCAACGCCUGAGAAGGGCCGGCUGGGUCGCAGUCGUUCCUGGGGUCUGCAGAGGAGAUUGAAGGCCUCGACCGAGAGCAUGCUGAGGCCCGCGCCGCCAUCAAUGAGGGUUCUGGUGACGGCCACCUGGCAGAUGGUGGGGGUGCACAGCAUGGGGAGCGCACCCGAGCAGGCCGAGUUGGAGGGGUGGUCCUCCAAGCUGAAGGUCAGGCUGGUCUCGGGCGCCGCCCGAUCCAGAGGAGCCCCCUGCCGCAUGGAAGCGGCACUGACCCGGCGGAUGAACGGCUUGACGUGGUGACUUGUGGGCGGCGCCUGCGAGCCGCCCAAGAGGGCCGCGACGACCGGGGGUGUUGACGCAGCGCGAUAAACGGGGGAGAGGUUGCGGGGCUCCAUGGGCGUGCGAAGCCCGCGGGGCGAAGAACCAGCUGGGGUGAGCGUGGGAGUUGCGGUGCGGCCGUCUUGCCGCACAGGAGGAUGCUGAGACGAUGCUUGUUGCUUGUCGCCCGCCGGGCCGGUGGCAGCGUUGACGGCAGGUGACGAGGAACGGCGAGGACGCCCGCCGACAGGGGCCGUCUGGGCGACGCGGGAAGCGAGGGCGGCCCUGCGCUUCGCGCGGGCCCGACAAGCGUCAGACAUGGGCGCGAUGGUCGGAGGAGAACGGGGUUGUAGAAGGUGGAUUCCGGCGCACCCCUACCUGGCGCGCCAAAUGUCGGAUUUCGGGUUCCGGCAGACCCUUGAGGUUCGAACACUGGGGUGCGCGCGGAGAUUCUGCCUCCUACCUACCUGCACCCCUCCGCCAUGUUAGGAUCUGAACUACGGAAAGAACAACACAAGAGACACAAGGUUUAUACUGGUUCGGGCCACCGCUGUGGUGUAAUACCCUACUCCAGUGUGUGGUGUGUGGAUUGCCUCUUGGGCUGAUGAUGGCGAACAAUACAAGGAAGAAAGGCCUCGCGAGGGCCUGUUCUUGGCUGGGGCGAUGAACUGCUGGGUGGAGUUCAGUCACCUUUCUCUUCUCUCUCUCUCUCUCUCUCUCUCUCUCUCUCUCUCUCUCAACCAACCGACCGAACUCCCUCCACCCUCAGCUAAUCUACCUCCCUUGCUAUGUGGGUGGCUGGUCCUAUUUAUAGAGGCCCUGGUCCUCUUCCCAAAUAUCGAGCAGGAAGGGAGCCAACAAUGGCGGGCUAAUUUGAAGGGGGACAGCAAGUAUCAGCUAUCCUGACAAAAGUAGUCUUCGCCUACGCAAAGCUCUGGUGAUGACGCCGUCUUGGGCUCCACGGUGACCUCCAUCACGUAGUCCUCCUGGUCCUGGUCUCGUUGCACUGAAAUGGCAACCUUUGCCUGAUGCCUCGGUACUCCGCGGCUGCGCUUGCCCCCUUUGCACCGAAGAGGGAAGGAGGACGCUGCGCGGGCUGGCACCCGCCUGGCGCCCUGAGUCGUCAUGGCUUGCGUCACAGGCACCUCGUGAGGUACCCCGCCUUGAUCUCUCCGCCUCCUCGUGAGCCAGCCUGAUGAGGCCGCGCCUGAGGAAGCUCCACGUCAUCCACCCUGCGAGGCUUGGCCCCUCGCGAUGGUCUUGGGUUUGUGUUGGUGAAGACGGGCCGUGCUGGGCCCCCCUUUGAGCCACGCCGCAGGCCACAGGCAGGCAAGUCUGGGGACCCCCGUUCCCAGAACGCCGACAGGAAGGGUGCUGGAUCACGGAGCUCCGGAGUUACUUAACACAAGGGACCCUACCGGAGAAGGAGGAGGAAGCGGAGCGUGUGGCACGGCAGGCCACGGCAUACUGCAUCAAGGAUGGAGAGCUCUACCGGAAGCGACCAAAUGAUGUAUCCCUACGCUGCAUCUCGAGGGAGCAAGGAAAGGAACUACUGGAAGAUAUACACGACGGAGACUGUGGACAUCAUUCAUCAUCACGGACCCUCGUCGGCAAGGCGUUCCGCAGUGGGUUUUAUUGGCCCACCACACUCAAUGACGUCAUCGAACUGGUGAAAGCUUGUGAGGCCUGCCAGUUCCACGCCAAGCAGAUCCAUCAGCCGGCAGGAGGCCUGCAGACUAUACCCCUUUCGUGGCCAUUUGCAGUCUGGGGGCUGGACAUCCUGGGCCCGUUUCCUCGGGCGCCAGGGGGCUACCGCUACCUCUACAUCGCCGUGGAUAAGUUCACCAAGUGGGCUGAAGUAGAGGCCGUCCGCACCAUCCCCGCGGGUUCCGCGGUCAAGUUCAUCAGGGGCAUCGUGAGCCGGUUCGGGGUGCCGAACCGCAUCAUCACAGAAAACGGUUCGCAGUUCACCAGUAACCUCUUCAAAACAUACUGUGCUAACCUUGGAACGCAGAUAUGCUACGCUUCGGUGGCGCACCCCCAAAGCAACGGCCAGGCCGAGCGAGUCAAUGCAGAGGUCCUGAGGGGCCUCAAGACCAGGACGUUCAAGAAAAAGCUAGAGGCCUGCGGCAUAGGUUGGUACGACGAGCUUUAGUCCGUUUUGUGGUCCAUCCACACAACCGCGACCAAGCCGACUGGAGAGACCCCGUUCUUCCUGGUCUACGGAGCCGAAGCGGUCCUCCCUCACGAGGUCAGACGUCGCUCCGCGCGGGUCCUGGCGUUCGACGAGGCGCGGCAGGACGCCAUGCGGGGGAUGGACCUCGUGCUGGGGGAGGAACGUCGCCGAGAAGCCACGCUGCGAGCGGCGAGGUACCAACAAGCACUGCGAUGAUAUCAUCGCCGCAACAUCCGCCCCAGAACUCUCGAGGUAGGAGACCUCGUGCUCAGGCGGGUUCUCUCCAGGGAGGGACUGCACAAGCUCUCUCCCAUGUGGGAGGGCCCGUUCAAGGUUGUUCAUGUUUUCAGGCCCGGCUCUGCGCGCUUAGAGACUCAGGAGGGGGUGCCGGUCCAGAACGCAUGGAACAUCCAGCACCUCCGGAGGUUCUACCCCUAAAAAGGCCCAGAGCCUAUGAAGAAGGCGAAUGCCUGUGAAGCUAUCGCGUUUUGGAAAAGGCCCAGAGCCUGUGAAGAAGGCGAAUGCCUGUGAAGCUGUCGCGUUUUGGAAAAGGCCCAGAGCCUGUGAAGAAGGCGAAUGCCUGUGAAGCUGUCGCAUUUUGGAAAAGGCCCAGAGCCUGUGAAGAAGGCGAUUGCCUGUGAAGCUGUCACGUUUUGGAAAAGGCCCAGAGCUUGUGAAGAAGGCGAAUGCUUGUGAAGCUGUCGCAUUUUGGAAAAGGCCCAAAGCCUGUGAAGAAGGCGAAUGCCUGUGAAGCUGUCGCGUUUUGGAAAGGGCCCGGAGCCUGUGAAGAGGGCAAAUGCCUGUGAAGCCUGCUUCCCCCAAGAAAGGCCCGGAGCCUGUGAAGAAGGCCAACGCCUGUGAAGCUGUCGCCGCCCGUGACACUCUCACGUAAUAAUGAGUUGGGGCUGUACACACCCCGGAGUCUCAGGAGCGUCGGCCUCAGGCCUUGGGGCUCCCUCCCACGCCCAGUGGCAGCACUUAGCUCCGCGCUGGUGAGAAGACGUCGAAGACUAGAUUAGGUGCCGACGCGGCUUUUUCAUUUGCUUUCCGCAGUUGGCUUCUUCAUUCUCAUUCGAAGUUUUAUUGAAGUUGUUGCCGUCUUUGGCUUGUGGUUCUUCAACUUUUCACUCUCCUGCCUCGAUUUCUCUUAUGCAAGGCCUUGCGAGGGGGGCAGCCGAGCGCCCUCGCGAGUGUUCCUGUCCUAGUCAUUCAAAGGUUUCGCGACCUGGGUCCAUUACAGGAGCACCCCUCCAGUCUGUGCCCCACGGGCACCGCGACACGAACACAGGGCCUGGGUCGGUCGCUGAAAGUGCGUUAUAUCGACUAGAGGGGGGUGAAUAGGCAAUUUUUAUGAAAGUCUUCAAAACGUGGAUGUUAUGAAGACAAACGAUAGAAAUAAACCUAUUACCCUGCAGCGGAAGGUAGACUACACUAGGCAAGCCAUAGUCAAGUAUUCAAUAGAGUGAAAGCCAAUGACUAAUAGCAGCAAUGUAGUAAGGAUCAGGUAGGAAGAUAUUGUGAAGCCACACAGAACACGCAGUCACUCAGUGAAGACAAAAGAUAGUUCGAACAUACAAUGACUUCACAAGGAGUAACAGUAAGUAAAGGGAAGGGAAGAUGAAACCAGUGACUCGCUGAAGACAAUGAUUUGUUGGACCAGUUCCAGCUGCUGUGACAACUGUAUGUCUGGUUAGGGCGGCUAGGUAUUUAAACCUUAGGACACACAGUCCUGGACACCCAGUCCUGAACACGCAGCUCAGGACACCCAGUCCUCACCGUAUUCCCCCUGAGCUAUGGUCACACAGACCUCGCCCAAUCACUCUGGUAAGUCUUCAAGGUAGACUCCCAAACAUUCACAGACUUCGUUCACCGACAGUCCACAAUGUCUUUUGGAUGCUCAAAACGCGACGCCUAACCGGCUGGAGGAUGCACAGUCCUCAAGUGUAAUAAGUCUUCAGAUCACACAGACAAGAAGACUUAAGUGAUGCCUAAUUCUCUUUGGCUCUGGGUGGUUAGGGCUUUAUCCUCGCAAGGAAUUCUCUCUCAAAGGCUUCGAGGUGGGUUGCUCUCAAACGGCAAAAGCCGUACUCUGAAUCUGAGCAGCCAACCGUUUAUGGUUGUAGGGGGUGGGCUAUUUAUAGCCACUUGGCAACCUGACCUGAUUUGUCCGAAAUGACCCUGGGUCACUAAGGAACUGACACGUGUUCCAACGGUCAGAUUUCAAACUCACACGGCAACUUUACUUGGGCUACAAGCAAAGCUGACUUGUCCGACUCUGGACAAGAUUCGCUCUCACAGUCUUCACUCGAAGACAUAGGUUUUGGUUAAGCAUCACUUCAGUCAUUCUGACUGGUUCUCUUGGACCCCACUUAACAGUACGGUGGUUCCUAUGACUCAACAAAGAAGAAGAAAAAGAACUACGAAAGAUCUAAGUCUUCGAGCUCCAUAGGCUUCAUGCGAUGUCUUCUCUUGUCAUAGUCUUCAAUGUGAAUAUCUUCAUAUACCACCUUUGACUUCAAUGUCUUCAUACAUUUUUAGGGGUCAUCUCUGGUAGGAAAACCGAAUCAAUGAGGGACUUCUACCUGUGUUAUCCUGCAAUUCUCACAAACACAUUAGUCCCUCAACUAGGUUUGUCGUCAAUACUCCAAAACCAACUAGGGGUGGCACUAGAUGCACUUACAAUCUCCCCCUUUUUGGUCAUUGAUGACAAACUAGUUGAAGUAUUCAACGGGGAAUAUAAUCUGUGAAAUUGUAAAGGAUAAGGAAUUGUCUUCAUAAGUUGCAAGGGCUCCCCCUGAAGAUGUGCAUAUAAGUAAUUUGCUUUUGGAAUGCAAAUGCACAUGGCAGGUUGUACUUGUGGAGAUCCACUUCAACUUAUGAUGAUAAUCCACUAUGCAUGUGAAAGUAUAUGAAGAUAAUGACAUGCAUAAUGGAAAAUGGACGUCUGCAGAAUGAUCUAAGUGCGGAAUUUAUCGUCGCACAUGCGGAAUUUAUCAUCGCAACACAAGGUGGCAGAUAAGUAGCAGACGACCAUCGAGUUUAAGUGUUACAACUCAAAGAACCAAAUGUAGCAAAACGAGAGUUGUAAGCACGAAGCAAAAUAUAAAGCACCCGCCCAUAUGGACCCGCUUGAAGACUAUCAACCUCAUAUGCUUCUCCCCCUUUUGUCAGUAAGGACCAAAAAGGUUUGAAGACAUAGAGCAUCUACUCGUUCCGAGAAGGAGUAGGUGAAGCAGCAGGGUCGUUGGUGGUGUUUGGCAGUGCUGAAGAGAUUGGAGCAGCGUCGAAGCGUGCUGAAGGAGGUGGCGGUGAAGUAGCAUCGUCUUCAUCCUUGAUCACUCUGGCAGUCAUAGUUGCAGCAGAGGAAGAGAACUCAGAGUCUUCAAGGGAUGGAGUUCGUCGCAGCACUGCCCUUCGAGGAGGUGUGGAGUCAAACAUGAAUCGCUCAGUGAAGCCAUCCUCUUUAAGAUCACCUUCAGAACACAUCAGUGUUAGCCCUUUCCAUGUGCGGCGAGAGGUUUCAUGGGCAACAAAAGCAUUCUUGGUGGCAAGAUUGCGAAUGCGAUUAACAUCCACCAAGAGGCUUUGCAUCUGACGCUUCAGCCAGUCAUGAUGCCUAUCCUGUUUCUGAUGAAGAGCCACAAGAAGCUCUCGGUCAUUGAGAACACGAGUGCGCUUCUUGGGUCGUGGAGCAGUUGUACUGUCAGUGGCUUCAGUGAGAGCAGGAUGCGGUGCACGUGUAGUGCCAGCCAAAGGAUACACAUGAGCGACUGCUUCAACUCCUUCAAUGUUCUGAGAAAAACUCUGAUUCUCUGCAUACUGAAGACUUAGGGGUUCCUUGGCAGGCUCAGGAUAGAUGGCUUCAAUCGACAUAUCCACAUCAGGCAGAAAAAUCCGAUGAUUGCGAGCAGAUGGCUGAUAUGAGAUAGUGGAGUGAAGUUUGAUCAGCCGCAUGACCCAUGGGGCGUAGAACUUCAAACCAAACAGAUCAGAGCCUGAUGCAACAAGUUGGCGAAUGAAGAAGUCCUGUGCAUUGAAGCACUUUCCAUGAAGAAUAUAGAAGACCAAAGUCUUCAUUGCACCUUCAAGCUUGGCAUGUGGAGAGUGUCCUUUGAUUGGCCAGAGAGUUCGCCUUAUGAUGUGAUAAAUGGUUCUUGGCAGAUACUCAAGGUCUUCAAUGAAGAACUCCGUGGGAUAAGCAGCAUCUUGGGGCAAUGGCUUCAUCAUACUAAGCAUCUGACUCAUAUUAAGUUCAGUCUUCUGAAAGAUGCUCUCAAUAGCUUCACUAUGAAGCUGACAGCCAUGCUCGUAGAGAUCGCCAGGAGUGGGCAAACUAGUGAGCUCAAUGAUGUCAAAGGCUUUGGCUUCGUGAUGAACGUUUCCUGUCAUCCACUCCAGGACCAAAGUCUUCGGAUCUCUGCUAUACCCGCGGAUGUGAAGUGUGGCAUAGAAUUGGAGUAGCAACUCUUCAUUCCAAUGCUCUUGGUCAGUGACGAAUGGCAGCAAUCCAACUUCUUUGAAGCAAUCCAGAGCUUCUUCCAGACAGGGCAGACCAGCUAUAGCUUCAAUGUCAAGGCGCUUGUGGGGGAAGAUGCGACCUUGAUUGUAUAGAAUGCAGGAGUAAUAGCUUCGCUGCGGAUAGCUCCAGAACCGAUCAGAUGAUAUCCUUUCCCUUGAGUAGGGGUUCCUGGAGCUAUUGAAGAAUGUGUUGUCUGCUUUGAAGCCAUUGAUAUUGAAGUAGCUAGGUGCUGACGCAGGACCUGGGAACCUUGGCAAUCUUGGGAUUGGCUUCUGUACCUGAGGCCUAUGCUCAACAUGAUAGUGGAACUGGGGACCGGCAGCAGACUCAGGAAGAGAAGUGGCGGGAUCAGUGGCUUCGCUGACUUCUUCUUCCAUUGGGGAGAGCUCCACAUUAGCUUCAGCCAUGACAUCGUCAGUGGCUUCAUUGGUGGUGGUGGUGGCAGCCUCAAGAUUUUCAACCUCCACUUGACGAGCUGGAGCGUCAGUCACGAUCACGUUCUCCUCGAGAACUGCUUCUUGGUGGAACAGGGGAGUGGCAACUUGUGGGACUUCUUCUUCCGCAGCUGAUGCAGCCGGAUUGUCUUCAGCAGAGACUUGAGGCCUUGGACCUUUACGAAGCCUGUGCAACGCAGGCGACGCCUGUGGAGUUGCUGUUGGCUGGGCCUCAAAGUCUUCUUCCUCUUGUGGGCAAUCCGCCCAUGAAGCAUCCUGUGCAAUUGGCGUAAGUGGACGACCAAUGCUGAUGAGUUCGCUGUUCUCGAGCUGAGGAAGGACUGCACCAUCUUCUACAUGAUCACGUUGACCAAUGUCUUUAGCAGCGAUGGGAUCAGCUGCUGGAAAGUCUUCAGCUUCAUGAGCCUCUGUGAAAGCAGGCUCAUGGACAGUUAGUUGACGUUCUUGUGGAUCGGCGUCGGGGUGAACCAUGGAAAUGGGUUCAACAAUUAAGGGCUUUGUGUGAGCAGCCCGUUCCUUCUUGGUAUUUCUUUUCUUCUUGGUGGGGGCAGUAGCAGAGGCUUCAGGAUGUUUUCUCUUCCUUGCUUCAGCCUCAGCAGUCCUCGUCUUCUUGAGCUCUAAAGCGGUUGACUGGCUUUUUUGGCUUCGAGCCAGUCAUUCUAGUUGGGAAGACAAUGGGAUCUGCUUCCUGCCUAGGUGCGUCAGGUUCAACCGUAGAGGGCUUCUUCGUCUUCUUUGCAGCCAUCCUGGGGUCGAUGCCAGGACGCCCAAGGGCCUUGUGCUUCUCAGCCUCAUUGUAGGCUUGCACACAUCUGUCAGCCAGAACCUUCAUGCGCUCACACGAACCCUGAGCUUCUGCAUGUUUCUUGAGAAAGGCUUCCUUGAGCUCGUGCAGCAUAAUCUUGAAGUUCUUCACUUCUUGCACGCUGAGCUUGUCCAUAUGCUUCUUGAACUGUGCCUUUUCAAAGUCAAUCUUUUGCUUCAGCAACAAUGCGCUGGGCGAUAGCUAGUUCUGAAGCAAUGGUGCCAUGGAAGGCGACACUGAAGCCAAUGGGUAGUUGCAGAUCUUCGAAGCUGAUGUUUGGCGUGUCAAACCACUCAUCAAUGAAGUUGUGGAUGAUUGUUACAUCAAAGAGAGGCAUAUCAUUGAAGAUUUCUGCUUCUUCUUUGCUCUUGAUGAGUUGCUCAAGAGCGUCAUCUGCAAGAUCUUCAUCACUUGACAGAUCAAUGGCAUCAUUGCGCAGAAUGGCAGCAACUGUUAGCUCUUGGCCGGUGUGUGGCAGAGGCAUCUUGACCUUCUGGGGCUUGGAGAUGCGUGAUAAAUCUUCGGACUGCACACUGUCUUCAGGAGGUGCAGUUGCCAGUGGCUUCGCCCAUGAGAUUUUUGGUGAAGGGGCAGACUUUGAAGCUUUAGGCUUCUUUAACUUCUUUGGCUUCGGCGCUGCAAGCGCUUCAUCUGAUUCAGCGUCAGCUGCAGGCUCAUUCACUGCAGUCCCUUGAACCAAGAUAUGGGUGAUGAGGCCUUCAAGGUUGUAGAAAGGACCGAUGACAUUGGGUUCUGCAUCUCGUGUGCCAUCAGCCCUUGGAGCUGAGGGACCAGGGUUGAAGUCUAGUCCCAAUGUCUUCUUGUAUUGCUUCGCUGAGUUCUGGGCAAACUGGAAGUUGCGCUUGAACAGAAUGUCGUCACGACACCAUAGUAGUGACGAUGGGUGUGCAUCAACAGGCUGUGGCCCACGGACCAUGCAGGGAUAGAAGCAUUGUUCAAUGGCUUCAUCUCUGGACCUGGGUUGAAGAUUCUUGUAUAGGAUGUCUCCCCAAGGUCUCUUGAUGGCAUUUUUCUCAGCAUAUUCCUGGGUUACAAAUCGGUAUUUGAACCAUUGUUCUGCCCAAUAUCUUCGAAUCCAUUGGAUUCGGGUCUUGCGCUGAUUGUAAUCCUCUUUAGGAUCUGUCUUGUACAGUUCUGAGAGGUCAUCUGGCAGAUCUCUAGAUGUUUCUCCACGACGCUUUCUGCCACCCUUGCUAAUUUCUCUGAAGCCAUGAACUUUAAACUGAAAGGCUUCAACACGUUCAAAGGCUUCAAAGGUUUUCGCUUGCUGGACAAACAGGAACUGGCUUCGGGAGAAUUUAUGUGAUGCUGUAAGAAUUCUGCAAAUGAAUGCAGACUAUGAGAACCAAAGGAUUCUCCCACGGACAUGUACCUGUGACAGCAUUAAGGUGCGAGGGAAGGGGAAGAGGUCAUAUGCAUUCUCAGAAGAUUUUGAAUAUAAAUCAGUUUAGAAGACAUUGACCUCAUCGUGCAAAGACAUUCACUCAUAGAUAAGGAGUUGGUUCCAGAUUUGUACGAAUCCAGAGAUCAGUACAAGUGAGGAAUCUAACUACGUUGUGAAGCAUAAGUGAAUAUACUAGGCAUGUUAUGAGAUGUAGUAUGAGAAAGAUCUAACUUGUGUGAAUAGAAACUGCUUGUGGUAGAAAGUGACAAAGCCAUAGGAUCAACAGUGCCGUAAAAGGGAAGUUUUAUUUACCACACUAAGAACUGCUAGACGGAGUGGAAGAUGAGGCCGAGCAGUUCGAUCUUCCGUGCCCUAACUUGGCGACGGAGGACACCUACGGCGACGGCGGAGAGGACGAUGUCCGCGGUCGGCGUGAAGACGGCGUCGGAGAGGUUGCGGCAGCGAAGCGCUUCGUCGUCGGUGUCGUCGAGGGCUAGCGGUGGCACUAGAGUUCGUGCGAGAGUGGAAGAAGAGAUAAUGACUGCCGCGAAGUGUAUAUUUAUAGGUACAGGGGCGGCACUGCGUUAUUACACAGGUGCCCAUGGCGAUUCGCAUCUGAGGAACACGUGGCCAUUAUGCGGAAUUUUGGGGUUUGUUCCACAUCCCACGCACGCUUGGAUUGUCGGGUGGUCGUUCCUACUUCUUCGGGUUUCAUGUGGAGGAAUGAGCAUUAAAAACAGACUUAAUGGUUGUCUCUGUAUCUUCUGCUGACAAGGACGCAGAGAAGACAUUCGACAGUUUCAAUAGAAUGCAUAUGAUUUGGAGAGAUAGAAUUUGAGAUAGAAAGCAUAGAGAGGUUAGGGUCCGAUCACAUUCACUUAGUUCAAANNNNNNNNNNNNNNNNNNNNNNNNNNNNNNNNNNNNNNNNNNNNNNNNNNNNNNNNNNNNNNNNNNNNNNNNNNNNNNNNNNNNNNNNNNNNNNNNNNNNNNNNNNNNNNNNNNNNNNNNNNNNNNNNNNNNNNNNNNNNNNNNNNNNNNNNNNNNNNNNNNNNNNNNNNNNNNNNNNNNNNNNNNNNNNNNNNNNNNNNNNNNNNNNNNNNNNNNNNNNNNNNNNNNNNNNNNNNNNNNNNNNNNNNNNNNNNNNNNNNNNNNNNNNNNNNNNNNNNNNNNNNNNNNNNNNNNNNNNNNNNNNNNNNNNNNNNNNNNNNNNNNNNNNNNNUAUAUAUAUAUAUAUAUAUAUAUAUAUAUAUAUAUAUAUAUAUAUAAUCAACAUAGUGAAGAUAAUCAUGAAGACAUGUUGAGAUUGAAGCCAAACCAAAUGUGAAGACAUGGCAAAUGUAACGCCAUGGGUGAAACGCUUCAAACAGAACAUUUGGUGGUGGCGUUACCCACCGUAUAGGAAGUAUUAGACCCAGACACGGCGCACAAUUAUCGUGGCGCUCCGAAGUCAAAUUCGACAUUAAUGUAUUCACACUUAGAAUGUAUGUCUUCUUGAUUGAAGAUAUACUUUACUUCGUGUGUUGCACAUCUAAGUCAUCAAUAUGCAUAAGGGUUAGGAUGUGUACCUGAUCACAGGACAUUUGAGGAUUCCAGGAUAUUUAGCUCACACCAUAACUUGCAAAAUCUCUUCUCAUCCAAGGGCUUGGUGAAGAUAUCUGCCAAUUGCUCUUCAGUGUUGACGUGUAUGAUAUCAAUAUCUUCCUUCACAACAUGAUCUCUGAGAAAGUGAUGACGAAUUUCAAUGUGCUUUGUCUUCGAGUGCUGAACUGGGUUGUUGGCAAUCUUGAUGGCGCUUUCGUUGUCGCAGUAGAGUGGCACUUGCUUCAGAUGAAUGCAAUAGUCUUUGAGCGUUUGCUUCAUCCACAGAAGCUGAGAGCAGCAAGAUCCAGCAGCAAUGUAUUCAGAUUCAGCAGUGGAGAGAGAUACAUAGUUCUGCUUCUUUGAAGACCAACAUACAAGUGAUUGUCCCAGAAAGUGACAUGUGCCUUAUGUAGACUUGCGAUCAACUUUGUCACCAGCAUAAUCAGCAUCCGAGAAUCCAACUAGAUCAAACUCUGAGCCUUUUGGAUACCAUAAUCCUAGAGUUGGGGUGUGAGCCAAAUAUCGAAGAAUUCACUUCACAGCUAAGUGAUGCGACUCCUUUGGUGCCGCUUGAAAUCAAGCACACAUGCAAACACUAAGCAUAAUAUCUGGCCUAGAUGCACAUAGAUAAAGUAAAGAACCAAUCAUGGAGCGGUAUACCUUUUGAUCGAACUCUUUACCAUUGUCGUCAGGACCUAGAUGAUGCUUGGCUGGCAUUGGCGUCGUGAAGCCUUUGCAGUCUUGCAUACUGAACUUCUUCAGGCAAUCUUUGAGAUACUUCUCUUGAGAUAUGAAGAUGCUGUUGCGUUGCUGUCAUAUUUGAAGACCGAGAAAGAACUUCAGCUCUCCCAUCAUAGACAUUUGAUAUUGCUCUUGCAUCAUAUAUCCAAACUCUUCACUGUACUUCUGAUUGGUGCAGCCGAAGAUAAUGUCAUCCACAUAUAUUUGGCACACAAACAGUUCACCAUCAUAUGUCUUCAUGAAGAGAGUGGGGUCAAGAGAACCAGGUAUGAAGCCUUUGCUCCAGGAAGUAUUUGAGUGUGUCAUACCAGGCCCGAGGGGCUUGUUUGAGGCCAUACAGUGCCUUGUUGAGCUUGUAUACCAUGUCAGGAUGUUUUGGAUCUUUAAAGCCAGGAGGUUGUGCAACAUACACUUCUUCUUCAAUCUUGCCAUUGUGGAAGGCGCUCUUCACAUCCAUUUGAUAAAGAAGUAUGUUGUGAUGAUUUGCAUAGGCCAGUAGUAUGCAUAUGGCUUCAAGUCUAGCCACAGGAGCAAAUGUUUCAUCGAAGUCAAUGCCUUCCACUUGAGUAUAUCCUUGAGCAACAAGACGAGCUUUGUUUCUGACAACUUGACCAUGCUCAUCUUGCUUGUUGCGGUAUAUCCAUUUGGUGCCUAUUAUGUUGUGCUUCCGAGGAUCAGGACGCUUGACUAGUUCCCAUACAUUAUUCAGCUCAAACUGUAGAAGCUCGUCUUGCAUAGCUUGAAUCCAUUCAGGUUCCAUGAAGGCUUCUUCAACUUUCUUGGGUUCUGUUAUUGAGACGAAUGCGAAGUGCCCACAGAAAUUUGCCAGCUGAGUCGCCCUUGAAUGAGUGAGUGGACCGGGUGCAUUGAUGCUAUCAAUUAUUCUCUCAAUCUGCACUUCAUUGGCAACGUGAGGAUGUACAGGGCGAAGAUUUUGCUCUCGCUGAUCAUUGUCGUUGUUAGAAGGAAUGUCUUCAGGCUGAGCAUUGUCUUCAUGUUGAUCAGGUGCUGAGAUGAUAAGUUCUUCUUCAGGAUGAGCUUCAGAAGGUAUAAUUUCUCUAGUUCCCAUUAGCUUGAUUGAUUCACUGGAUGGAACUUCAUCUAGCACAUUUGGUAGUUGCUCUCUUUGUGAACCGUUGGUCUCAUCGAACCGCACAUCCACUGUUUCAACCACUUUGUAAUGAAAGAGAUUGAAGACUCUGUAGGAGUGCGAAUCCUUUCCAUAUCCAAGCAUAAAACCCUCAUGUGCUUUUGGUGCAAACUUUGAGGUGUGAUGUGGGUCCUUGAUCCAGCACCUGGCACCAAAUACUCUGGAGUAACUGACAUUUGGUUUCUUGCCAGUAAGGAGCUCAUAAGAUGUCUUGUUCAGAAGCUUGUGAAGAUAAACACGAUUGAUUGUAUGGCAUGUAGUAUCAAUGGCUUCAGGCCAGAAUUUUCUUGGAGUCUUGUAUUCAUCUAGCAUCGUUCUGGCCAUCUCAAUGAGUGUUCUGUUCUUGCGUUCGACAACCCCGUUCUGCUGUGGCGUGUACGGGGUUAAGAAUUCAUGUGUGAUGCCCAAGGUAUCAAGAUAUGUAUCAAGGCCAGUGUUCUUGAAUUCAGUGCCAUUGUCACUUCUGAUGUGCUUUAUCUUGGCGCCAUAAUUGGUCAUAGCUCGAUUGGCGAAGCGUCUGAAGACAUCCUGCACUUCAGUCUUGUAAAGGAUUAUGUGCACCCAAGUAUAUCUAGAAUAAUCAUCAACAAUGACAAAGCCAUAGAGACAAGCAGUAGUAGUAAGAGUUGAGUAAUGAGUGGGACCGAAAAGAUCCAUGUGAAGCAGUUCGAAGGGUCGAGUAGUGGUCAUGAUUGUCUUCGAGGGAUGUUUGGCCCUCGUCAUCUUUCCUGCCUCACAGGCACCGCAUAAGUGAUCUUUCUUGAACUUGACGCCCUCGAUGCCUAUGACAUGCUUCUUCUUUGCCAGGGUAUGGAGGUUCCUCAUGCCAGCAUGCCCAAGCCUCCGAUGCCAGAGCCAGCAUUCUGAAGCUUUUGCUAGAAGACAUACGGCAAGUUGUGGUCCUGCUGAGAAAUCUACCACGUACAAAUCAUCUUUUCGAUACCCUUCAAAUACUAGAGACUUGUCAGAUUCCAUUAGAACAAGGCAACGAUAUUUUCCAAAUAUUACGAUCAUGUUUAAAUCGCAAAGCAUUGAGACAGACAUUAAGUUGAAGCCAAGGGAUUCAACAAGCAUGACUUUAUCCAUGUGUUGAUCCCUUGAGAUUGCAACUCUACCUAGACCCAAUACCUUACUUUUACCAGUGUCAGCAAAUGUGAUGUGGCUCUUGUCGGCUGGACAUAAGGUUGAGUCCAUAAGAAGACUUCUUUUGCCGGUCAUGUGAUUUGUACACCCACUAUCAAUAAUCCAUUCUGAAGACGCUGGUGUCGUACCCUACAGUGCAGUUAGGGGGAUAGGCUUCACGAAGAGCAUUGUGAAGCAAAAACAUUUGACGAACCAGUGGGUUAUGAAAGCUUAGAUCCAGAUUAGGACUAAUAGGGAAAGUAGCAAGCGAUUCAGGAACGAAGUACAUAGUAAGACCAUUCGGGCAUUUGAUCUUGCGCCCUACAAGAUGUUUAAGGUCCCCAGCAAUAGCGUCAGACGAUUUUGGUUUUCUGCUGGAGACCUUUCCCUGCAAAAGAGAGUUAAGCUUUCUUAGCCACCCACAUCUUCAAGGGUGGCUUAGAAGCAAUAAGUCUAAGUGCAGCAUCUGAGAACUUUGGCUUUGGAGCCCUAGCAAACAGUCUUGCAGGCGGACAAUAGUACUCAUAAGAAUAAGCAGAAUAGUUCUUGGUCUUAUGAACAUGGUGGUUUGAUAAACCGCUCUCAUAUUCAUAUGCCUGAGUAUGGUUUCCCUGCAAAACAUUUGCGUUAGUGCGACUCAGGUGAGUUCUCUGUCUGUAUGAAGCCUUUGGACCGUAUGAAGCCUUUGGUCCGAGGUUUCUCUUCUUCACGUGAGGUGUCGUGAUGACAUUCACAGGAAGAUUCUCCAGACACCUUUUCGGAACCCAGAUCUUCUUCAUAGGCGGUCCAUUCCUGCAGUUAGUACCAAUGUACCUCGCAAACACUUCACCAUUCUGAUUCUUAAAUAGUUUAUAGUUUGCAUCAAGGGAUUCAUCAAUGAUAAUGGUGUUAGCACAAGUGAAGCCAGAUAGAUUGGAUGGAUCUGCUGAAGGUUCCUUUGCAGCAACCCACGUGGUUUUGGGGUACUGCUCAGGUUUCCAGUAAGAGCCAUCAGCAUUCAUUUUCCUUACGAACCCAACACCCUCUUUCCUCGGGUUUCGGUUCAGAAUCUGCUUUUUGAGGACAUCACAUAGUGUCUGAUGCCCUUUAAGACUUUUGUACAUCCCUGUUUCAAGCAAUGUCUUCAACCUAGCAUUCUCAUCAGCAAUAGCAGUGGUAUCCUCAGCAGAGGGGUUAGUUACCACAUCAACAGUUGAAGAUAUUGCAACAGUAGUAGCAGUAGAACAUUCAGCAACAGAAGUAGCAUUAUCACGCUCAAUGCAUUUAAGACAUGGUGGUUCAAAUCCUUCCUGAGCGGAACUGAUCUGUUUGGCGCGAAGUGACUUGUUUUCCUCUUGAAGAUCUUCAUGCGCCACUCUCAAUUUCUCAAGAUCUUGCUUCCUUUGAAGAUAAUCAUAGGAAAGCUUUUCAUGAGUUGUUGAGAGAGUUUCAUGACGACUUUCAAGUUCCACAUACUUAACGUGAAGAUUUUUUAUGUCUUCAAUUAAGGAUUCAGAUCGAGUCAUUUCAGCACCUAACAGAUCAUCGCUUCUGUCUAACAGUUUUUGAAUAUGUUCCAUAGCUUUCUGUUGUUCAGUUGGGUUUUGUAGCUGGGUUUUGAACCAUAAUCAGAGUCAUCGUCACUAGAUAUUUGAUAGUGAGUAGUGCGUGUCUUUACCUUGGCACCGCGUGCCAUGAAGCAGUAGGUAGAAGCGGAGUAGUCCUUGUCAUUUGCAUCGGUGUCGGUGAUGAAGUCAUUGUCUUCAGUGUUGAAGAUGGACUUGGCAACGUAUGCUGUAGCCAGACUUGCGACGCCUGAAUCGGACUCCUCCUCAGACUCCACCUCCGCCUCCUCAGAAGCGGACUCCUCCUCUGAAUCCAUUUCCUUGCCAACAAACGCACGUGCCUUGCCAGAUGAGCUCUUCUUGUGUGAUGAAGACUUUCAGGAAGACUUGGAAGAAGACUUUGAGUAUUUCUUCUUCUUCUUGUCGUCAGAGUCAUAUUCCUUGCUCUUCUUCUUCUUUUUGUUCUCAUUGUCCCACUGUGGAAACUCAGAGAUGAAGUGGCCAGGUUUCUUGCACUUGUGACAUGUUUUCUUCUUGUAGUCAUGAGCAGAAGCUUCAUCAUUCCUUGAGCUUGAUCGGGAAGACUUUCUGAAGCCGUUCUUCUUGGUGAAUUUUUGGAACUUCUUGACAAGCAUAGCAAGUUCCCUUCCAAUGUCUUCAGGAUCAUCAGAACUGCUGUCAGAUUCUUCUUCAGGUGAGGAGACAGCUUUUGCCUUCAAGGCACGAGUUCGCCCAUAGUUUGGACCGUAGAUAUCUCUUUUCUCAGAAAGCUGAAACUCAUGUGUGUUGAGCCUCUCAAGUAUGUCAGACGGCUCGAGUGUCUUGAAGUCAGGACAUUCUUGAAUCAUCAGGGCUAGGGUGUCGAACGAACUGUCAAGUGAUCUCAGUAGUGUCUUGACGACUUCAUGCUUGGUGAUCUCAGUAGCGCCGAGGGCUUGAAGCUCAUUUGUGAUGUCACUGAGUCGGUCAAAUGUGAGCUAGACAUUCUCAUUGUCAUUUCGCUUGAAGCAGUUGAAGAGGUUGCGAAGGACACUGAUUCUCUGAUCUUUCUGGGUUGAGACACCUUCAUUGACCUUGGAGAGCCAGUCCCAGACCAGCUUAGAUGUUUUCAAAGCACUCACACGGCCAUAUUGUCCUUUGGUCAGAUGACCACAGAUGAUAUUCUUGGCAGUAGAGUCCAGUUGAACGAACUUCUUGACAUCAGCAGCAGUGACACCUUCUCCAGCCUUGGGAACGCCAUUCUCGACGACAUACCAUAGGUCGACGUCAAUGGCUUCAAGAUGCAUGCGCAUCUUAUUCUUCCAGUAGGGAUAUUCAGUUCCAUCGAAGACGGGGCACGCAGCGGAGACUUUAAUUAUCCCUGCAGUCGACAUAGCUAAAACUCCAGGUGGUUAAACCGAAUCACACAAAACAAGGGAGCACCUUGCUCUGAUACCAAUUGAAAGUGCGUUAUAUCGACUAGAGGGGGGGGGUGAAUAGGCGAUUUUUAUGAAAGUCUUCAAAACGUGGAUGUUAUGAAGACAAACGAUAGAAAUAAACCUAUUACCCUGCAGCGGAAGGUAGACUACACUAGGCAAGCCAUAGUCAAGUAUUCAAUAGAGUGAAAGCACAAUGACUAAUAGCAGCAAUGUAGUAAGGAUCAGGUAGGAAGAUAUUGUGAAGCCACACAGAACACGCAGUCACUCAGUGAAGACAAAAGAUAGUUCGAACAUACAAUGGCUUCACAAGGAGUAACAGUAAGUAAAGGGAAGGGAAGAUGAAACCAGUGACUCGCUGAAGACAAUGAUUUGUUGGACCAGUUCCAGUUGCUGUGACAACUGUACGUCUGGUUAGGGCGGCUAGGUAUUUAAACCUUAGGACACAUAGUCCCGGACACCCAGUCCUGAGCACGCAGCUCAGGACAACCAGUUCUCACCGUAUUCCCCCUGAGCUAUGGUCACACAGACCUCACCCAAUCACUCUGGUAAGUCUUCAAGGUAGACUCCCAAACCUUCACAGACUUCGUUCACCGGCAGGCCACAAUGUCUCUUGGAUGCUCAAAACGCGACGCCUAACCGGCUGGAGGAUGCACAGUCCUCAAGUGUAAUAAGUCUUCAGAUCACACAGACAAGAAGACUUAAGUGAUGCCUAAUUCUCUUUGGCUCUGGGUGGUUAGGGCUUUAUCCUCGCAAGGAAUUCUCUCUCAAAGGCUUCGAGGUGGGUUGCUCUCAAACGACAAAAGUCGUACUCUGAAUCUGAGCAGCCAACCGUUUAUGGUUGUAGGGGGUGGGCUAUUUAUAGCCACUUGGCAACCCGACCUGAUUUGUCCGAAAUGACCCUGGGUCACUAAGGAACUGACACGUGUUCCAAUGGUCAGAUUUCAAACUCACAUGGCAACUUUACUUGGGCUACAAGCAAAGCUGGCUUGUCCGACUCUGGACAAGAUUCGCUCUCAUAGUCUUCACUCGAAGACAUAGGUUUUGUUUAAGCAUCACUUUAGUCAUUCUGACUGGUUCUCUUGGACCCCACUUAACAGUACGGUGGUUCCUAUGACUCAACAAAGAAGAAAAACAACUACGAAAGAUCUAAGUCUUCGAGCUACAUAGGCUUCAUGUGAUGUCUUCUCUUGUCAUAGUCUUCAAUGUGAAUAUCUUCAUAUACCACCUUUGACUUCAAUGUCUUCAUACAUUUUUAGGGGUCAUCUCUGGUAGGAAAACCGAAUCAAUGAGGGACUUCUACCUGUGUUAUCCUGCAAUUCUCACAAACACAUUAGUCCCUCAACUAGGUUUGUCGUAAUACUCCAAAACCAACUAGGGGUGGCACUAGAUGCACUUACAGUCGCCCGCCAUGGCUGGGGCCGGGAACUAUCCACGCGCGGGCACGUAGCCGAAAGGCACGAUAACGGAAGCAAAGCGAUGAUUAACAGCAAUAACCCAAACACGCCCGCGUGGGGCUCCAUGCUACUGUCUUUUUAUGCAGGAAAAAGGAAAAGAAAGAACAAAUCAGGCGCAGCUCGCCUCACACCGGCCUGCAGGGAAGACUCGAGCUGCCUCCAGGGCUCAGGCAGACUUCCUUUCGCGCUUCACCAGGGCGCGACGGUGGGCAGACACACUACCACCUCCCAAGCAGGUACGACGGCGUGGAGGCUGACCGCGGCCACCGCUUGAAGAGUCGCCGCCUGAAGAAGAACCGGUGAAGCUUGGGGAACCCUGAGCGCCACCAAUCACACGAGCGCUGUCCUCUCCAUCAUCGCCGGGGCUGGGUUCUUGGCCGCGGUCAUCGUCCUCAGGGCAGCACCCUGCGCGGCGACCAUCUUCUCCAAACACCCUCACGUAGAGGGUGGCAUCGCCGUCAAACUUGAAGUGCAGGGUGCACCGACGGCUCAGGCCACGCGCGCGGGCAAACGUCUGCCAACCGCGGGUCAAGGCCAGGCUCCUGGCUGCGGAGACCUCUAGUGAAGCCCAUGAGGCCCGGCUGCAGUAGCCGUCUGCCUGAAGCUAGAGGCCACCCGGGAGCUCGCAGAGGAGGAAGCGAGGAAGUUGAAGCCGGGUGCUAGUCGGCUCCGCCGACCACACAACGAACUCUGGCAACACCUCUGCAGCGUGAAAGCGCGACCUAGGGGAACAUGCGACUGAAGCGCGCCCCCCGGCCGCAGCAGUCCGCCCGUCACCGUGCUGGAAAUCGUCUCCACGGCUGCGGGGAGCUGCCGUGGUGGCCACAGGAUGUUUGCGAGGGUGCCCUCGGCCGCGCUUGGGCGGGGGAGAGGCAGGCUCAACCUGGCGAGCCUUCCCCUUCUCUGCGGCCGAGAACCUCCUCGACGGGGCCAUGAAGAAGAAGGAGAAGCAAGGGGGGAUGAACUGGAAGGGCGCGCGCUGAUCCAUACUUAUAGCCGGCGAGGGCCAACCGUCGGCCCCCACGAUCCCAGGUAAUCAUGACCCGCUUUGCAUGUAGGGACUUGUCCAAUCCGCGCAGUUGCCGAGGCACCAUGGGCAAGUGGAGACGCUCACGUCCAAUCAACCGCCACGCGGUGCCCAAGGCCGCAGGCUGUUAGGGCCUGCGGCACUUCGCUCUUUCCCUUUCGCCUCCCUGCACGGCCAAGUCCGGGCGUGCCUUGGGCCCUGGGGAUACUGUCGGCGUUCUGGGAACGGGGGUCCCCAGACUUGCUUGCCUGCGGCCUGCGGCGUGGCUCAAAAGGGGGCCCAGCGCGGCCCAUCUUCAUCAACACAGACCCAAGACCCUCGCGAGGGGCCAAGCCUCGCGGGGCGGACGAUACGGAGCUUCCUCAAGCACGGCCUCGUCGGGCUAGCUCGCGAGGAGGCGGAGAGAUCAAGGCGGGGUAUCUCACGAGGUGCCCGUGACGCAAGCCAUGACGACCAAGGGUGCCAGGCGGGCGCCAGCCCGUGCAGUGUCCUCCUUUCCUCUUUGGUGCAAAGGGGGCAAGCGCAGGCGAGAGCAUCAAGCAAAGGCACCCGUUUCGGUGCAACGAGACCAAGACCAGUCCAACGGCAGGAAGGAAGUCAUUGUGGAGCCCAAGCCAGCGUCACCACCAGAGCCUUUGGCAGGCGAGGACCAACUUUAGUCAGGAUAAGUGUACCAGAUGUUCCCCUUCAAAAUGGCCAAUUGUUGGCGCCCUUCCCGCUCAAUAUUUGGGAAGAGGCCCAGGGCCUUUGCCUAUGAAUAGGACUAGCCACCCCCAGGGUAGAAAGGGGGGGAAGAAGGCAAUCAAGAAGGGAGAAACUAGCUAGGAUCGGAUCGGGUAGCAUCAUAGAGAGAGAGAGAGAAGGGUGAUUGAACUCCUCCUACCAGUUCAUCCCCUCAGCCAAGAACAGACCCUCGCGAAGCUGUUCUUCCUUGUAUUGCUCAUCAUCAUCAGCCCAAGAGGCAAUCCACCACACCACACACUGGAGUAGGGUAUUACACCACAAUGGUGGCCCGAACCAGUAUAAACCCUGUGUCUCUUGUGCUGUUCUUUCCAUAGCUUAGAUCUUAGCGAGGCAGAGGGGUGCAGGUAGGUAGAAGGCGAAAUCUCCGCGCGCACCCCAGUGUUCGAACCUCAAGGGUCUGCCGAAACCCGAAAUCCGACGAGUUCCUUGUCACCUCUAUGGAUAACUUUGUGCACCUACCGAGUAUCCGCUCACCCUCAGUUGAUUAAUGUACUUCACAAAAGUCUUCGUAAUACCAUUCGUUCUUGUGAAAAUCCUCAACAGCCUAUUGUUCUUGAAUUUCUUGCUUGCUUGCAUUAUGGUUAAUACCAUAAGUCUAGUAAUCUUAUUGUCAGCCUUUGUCAUUAUCAUUUUGAGUCUGUUGAUACAAUAUGUUGCGAAUGCUCGCAAUCCUCAAUCAGAUCCUAGAAUUCAUCCUUCCGGCUCAGACGUCAUUUUAACAUGUGCUGAAUCUUGAUCAAUCAAAUCGCCAUCGAUUGUACCCUUAAGGCUAAUCUACCUAUCCAUCCCUAAUCAAAGCAUUGCUUCUGAUCCCUUGUCCUGGAAUUCAUAAUUCCUUUGCAAUUGAGCUUUGAGUUAGUCAGUUGUUUCUAUAAUCUGAUCUCCUUGCAUUCUUUCUUCCUAUGGUUGAGUACUGAUGCUCACAUCAGAUCCCUUGNNNNNNNNNNNNNNNNNNNNNNNNNNNNNNNNNNNNNNNNNNNNNNNNNNNNNNNNNNNNNNNNNNNNNNNNNNNNNNNNNNNNNNNNNNNNNNNNNNNNNNNNNNNNNNNNNNNNNNNNNNNNNNNNNNNNNNNNNNNNNNNNNNNNNNNNNNNNNNNNNNNNNNNNNNNNNNNNNNNNNNNNNNNNNNNNNNNNNNNNNNNNNNNNNNNNNNNNNNNNNNNNNNNNNNNNNNNNNNNNNNNNNNNNNNNNNNNNNNNNNNNNNNNNNNNNNNNNNNNNNNNNNNNNNNNNNNNNNNNNNNNNNNNNNNNNNNNNNNNNNNNNNNNNNNNNNNNNNNNNNNNNNNNNNNNNNNNNNNNNNGAUUUUAUCCGACAACGUUCUUCAUAUUCAAUAAGCUUGUGAGCCUUUCCUCGGAUACAUAAUGCUUUUGGUAAAUUGUAUCCUCCGCUUUCUCAAGCAUGCUCUACUACCGAGCUUGUGUUAUUUAUUCUUGGAAUUUAUGAUAUAUGUUCCUAAGAUGCCUCGAUGGGUUGAACCUAUGCCUUCCCUAAUCUGUGUGAACUCAGGAGUUAUGCGGGUUAUACUCUACUGGCUUUCCAUCAGAUAAAAUUUCAAUACUACAGCUUCAUCAAGAGCGAGAAAAUAAAAUGAAAGGUUAUGCAUUGUAGAAGUGGGAGUCGACCCUGAACCUUUGUGUUCAUGCCCAAGGACAUGGUGUGGAACUUAUCAUGAAAGCUUCUUACAAGGAUAUUUAAUCUUUUGAAUAAUUCUUCCGGUAUCGUAAAUUGGAUCCCUUGCAUUUAUGGUCCCGACCAUAUUUCCUCCCUGAUCCCAUGUACUGGGUAAGUUAAAUUAUUUAUCCUCUACAAUUCAUUUCCCCCGUCCAACCUCUACUCCGGUUACCUUCUGGCAUUACACCUAGUACUUGAUACUGGGAAGCUUUAUACCCCAUCACAUCAUUCCUAGCCUGAUCGGCUAUAUUUUUAUCAUGUCAACUUUUUAACUGAGCUACCAGGUCCUUAUGCCCGGAGCAACUUCCAACGAUGAGCUAAGCUUACGUCGAUCUUCCUCAUCUUAUCAUUCUGCCUUGAACAGCAAGCUUAAUUUCGAGUUUGUAUCGUACCCAUGGUUCCUAUAACUUUUCGCUUCAUCAUUCCUUUGACUGGAUAUCAUUGCCGGUCGAUUACAUAUUCAUGAAAUCUCUCGACAAAUGUGUCGUGAUCAUCAUCAACAUUCUGAGUAUUUCGAGGAUAUCAAUUGAAUUCAUGAUGAGAAAUACCACCCCUGCCUCUCGAUGGUUUGUGUCAGCACCAACAACAUUCUUGUCUUCCCCCAACACAAACUUGUUCAUACAAUUUUGGAAAUACAUCCUUUUUGGCAUGUCGAUGGAUUGUGGCUGAGCCCGUCGGCCGCACCCUCAUCUUUUCCCUACUAAAAUUGUAUGACUUAUUUUCUAAGUUGUUUCCGAUGGAUCCUUGGUGUAUCCAAAGUCUGACCUUUGCUUGAAACCAUGUCAAUGCUAUCUCGAAGCAUGUCUGUGGUAAUCCGAUCUCCAAUAAGAACGUUUGAAGCACGAUAUUAAAUUUUCUUUAUCAAUGAUCCAAACACCAUUGUAUGGGUAAUGUCAUGAAAUUUCUUUCCCCUUACCUAAAUGGUUUUAUACUUCUAUCCUGUCAUGGAUACCAUGCUCUGCUUGUCCUUAGGAAGGAUAUACCCCUGAAGUAUGUGUUUAAACACAUUUUCCUUUCCAUUGCUUUGUUUAAACCUUUCUUGUGAUCAAUAUGAUCUAAGCAGUGAUAUUUCCCUGCUUAUGUAAACACCUCAUUGUAUCACCCUGUCAGUAAGACCCUGUUACUAUUGUCGAUCACAUUCCGGUAUCCACCGAUGGACGAGAACUUUGCCUAAUGGCCCGCCUCGUCCAACGAGCAGGAAAAUGGUUCUCUUCAUCCCUCGCCCUUGGUACCGACGUUGUUGCCAACAUAACUGACAUGCUACCCUCUGACAUGCCGUGCUAUCAUGACUGUGCAAGAUGUCAUCGCUCCUUCUAUUUUAACCCACAUGGUGGGCCCAUAACCCACAGUUACACAGGAUCGAAACCUGACUCUCCUGUAUAUCUUUGAUUUCGAAAUAUUCUUGCAUUUGGCUUCGUAUCAUGUCACGAGCAACCUUUCGAGAGAUGAUCUGUUCCCCAUGCUCUGAAACCCAUUCCUCACACUUUGUUCAGGUAUCAAUAUUUUGUCCAUUCGCUUGAAACUUUCUAUUGUACCUUCAUACUUUGCUCUCGAUGUUAAUUAAGUUUCAACUCGAGAGAUACUUCUGCCUCAUUCCCUGAAUUGUUCACCAGAUAAGUAACCCUAUAAGGGUCAGUUCUCCCGAAGUUACUCUUUACUUCCCCACUUAAAUCUCGGGACGAGAUUUCUUGUAGUGGAGGAGAUAUGUAACGCCCCCAGUGUCAUGCAAUAGUAACCCUCUGUGAUUAAAUUAUUCAUUUUUCCAAACAGUGCUUAAUCACCCUUUGUUCAAUAUCCCAUUUGAACUUUUAGUCAAUUCAAAUUCAAGUGAAAUUUGAAGUUGCACAAAAGAUGCUGGAAAAAUGUUCACCAUUUAGCAAAUAUUCCAAAACAACUUGUUGUUAAGGAAACAACAUCACCAUCAAGUCAAGUGGGUCAAAGCAUUUAAAUCAGUGCCAAAACAACACUAUAAAUGUCUAAAUUCAUUUUUGAAAAAUUCCAAAGGAUUCCAAAAUUUCCCAAACAUUCUAUGGCAAUGAGGUAUAUACCAUAGUAUUUAUGUGACCAAGGUUCACAUUUUUUUUAGUAAGUCAUUUGAUGGCUCAGAUUAUUGCAAAACUAUCUCUGGAAAUAAAGCAGAGAUAAAAAUAGAAAAAGGGCCUAGACUACUGCUGGAGACUGGGCCUAAGUGCACAGUGCCUGGAGCGCAGCCCACCACGGCCUCCUCCUCCCCCUGGGCCUAACUCCCACCUGAGCUGGCCCAACUCCUCCGCCGUCAUCUUUCCUUCCCUGUUCAGCCGACCGACGCCCACACCGCGCGUUGCCGCCAAGCCACCUCGCCGACCAAUCCUGCUACAGCAUCGCGGGAGGAGAUAAGGAAGCCACCGCGUCCCCCAAAUAUCUCCACCCACUCCCCACUCCUCACUCCCUCUGGACGCCCCUCUCUCCCUCGUCACUCUCUCUCUCUCUCGCCUAGAUCCGCCACGACCACCACCGUCGUUGCCAAAACUCCAUCGCCCCUGCGGCCACAGUGCAUCCCACGGGCUAGGAGGUUGCCUUGGAGCUCCGUCGAGCUUCGCUGCUUCGGCUACGAGGGCCGGUUCGAGCUCAAUGCCCCGACAACGACAAGUUCAAGCUCUUCUUCCUCCUGUGGUCGCCGCCGUUUUCAUUGAACUGCUUCACUCCGGCCUCCCCCGGCUUCACCGACUCGCCUGCGAGAACCACUGUGAGCGUUCCCCCAUUUCCCAUAGUUUGUUUUGCCCCGCACGCGCCCUCUGGCUAGUUGCUGCCGUGACCAUGCCCCAUCCGAAGCUCUGCUUCCGCCGCCAUGUCUGUUGCCACUGUUGUAGUUAGCUCCAUACUGAACUAACACCAUUGCCAUGCUCCUGGGGACCCGGGCAGCGCGUGCGCCCCGUAGAUGGCCGUGCCUGUGGCUGUGGCUUCAUUUCUGUCCAGUCCGAGCUGUGACCGCCGCGGGACAUCGCCGAGCCGAUAGCACCGUCCACCCCCAUGCCUCCUACCUACUCGGGUCGACUCGCGCCGUCGCCCUCGUCCACCAACAGCUCCUCGCGGACCAAGUGCCCGCCGGGAUGAUGUAGAGUAGAACCCUAAUCGCCCGAUCUUUCACGAAAGGAGCGCAUCCCGUGAAGAACACGAGGAACACGAGGGGGAAAACGAGGGGAAACACGAGAGAAUCACUUAACCAACAAGAAAUAGUCACACAUGUGCUAGAUCCUCGAAUACAUAAGAGAAGAUACACGAUCCACGAUCAACUAGGGACGAUACACGGUAACCGGUUCUUCUCCGUGAGGAGGUCUUGAAUCCACAAGGGGAUCUUCCCGUAAGGGGUCUUGAAUCCAAGGUGGAUCUUCUCUGUAGAGGGGCCGCGAUCUCUUUCGUGGAGUAGAUCCGAUAUGGAUGAGCGAAGCUCUAUCUCACAAAUGAGCUAACACAACGCUAACCCUAACUAGGAGGAGGGGGAGGAGUAUAUAUAGUCUAAGCCACGAAGGGGUAAGUGGGAAAGGGUUACAUGGGCCUCUGGCCCGACUCUGCGCGCAGGCAGGCGCCGGAUGUCCGGGCUAUGGGCCGGAUGUCCAGACAUUCGCGGGAGGCCGGAUGUCCGGGGCACGGGCCGGAUGUCCGGGCUGAAGUGGCAGUUCAAGUCCUUCUCGGCAUAGGGGAUGCUGGAUUUCCGGGAGGGAUGCCGGAUGUCCGGGCGUUGCUGAGACGCGGAUGUCCGGGCACACGGGCCGGAUGUCCGGCCGCUGAUGCUUCGGCCGUCUGUUGGUGCAGGUCCUUGGAGGCUGCACAGGCGCCGGAUGUCCGGCCGCUGUAGCUUCAGCAGCUCCGUCUUCUUCCGUCAUCGCUUCCAGUCUUCCCUCGCAGAUGGUGUAGUUGUUCCUUGGCGCUUGCACUCCUCCUCCACAUCCGUGAAGCUCCGACAAUACCUAUGCAUGCACAUGGGAGAAGUGUCAAGUAGUAUACCAUCCUCGAAGGGGUCAAGUGAGCACGUGUAAAGGAGAUGAUUCACCUUUAUGUAUGUGAAGUAGAUGUCGCACGUGUCACUUGCCAAACGGACUCUUGACAUGGUGAUGUCCAUAGGAUGCUCCGCAUCAUCUCCCCUCCCUUGGGAAAGAUCCGACCUCGGAUCAAAAUCUAAAUCACCAUGGGAAAGAGGUGGCGUCUCCGUGUAGGAGUGGUCGAUCACCAAGUUCUCGUCAUCUUGAAGCUUGAAAUGGGCACUCUCCAAUGUCGCACCAUCUUGGGAUUCCUUCAAAAGUAGAAAAUAUAACAAACACUUGGAAAAACAAAUGUGGUUAGCGUUAGUGCAAAACCAAGCAUUCAAUAGGUUAUUCACCGAACAAGUGUCGUCAUCAUGCAAAGCAUAUGGUGUGAUAAAGGAUUGUGACAUGGCAUAUAAGCACAUAAAUUGAGAACAAGCAAAGAUAUCAUGGGGACAAGCAUGUAAAUGUGAGGUAGUGAUGCACAUGUGUGUGACAAGAGAAGAAGCAUCUACCUCAAGUUCAUAGCAAGCAUGGGAAAAUUGCUCAAUGAAAGGUCUAUGGUAGGCAUAAGAAGCAUUCACAACACCAAAUAAAAUGAAGUGUCUAAACACAUGGGUCAAGUGCAAGACAAUCCAAGCAUAAUGUGCAUUGGGUGUAGUGAAUAUCGUGUGGCACUCAACACAAUGGAAAGAGCAAUUGUUUAUCAUGUGUGAGGCAAUCAAGGCAAGCAUGUAGCAGUCAAUGGGACAUGGCAUAUGUGAAGAAAUGAUAUUGUUGCAACCAAGCAUGUGAUAGGAGCAAAUAAUCCAAGAAUUGGAUGCAACACACAAGGCAUAAAUAUCAUGAUGCAUGGAACAGUGAAAAUGACAAGUUGAAGCAAGAUCUCUAACAUGUGUGCAAUCAAGUCUCAUGGUGCAAGCAACACAAGUAGUAUGAUCCGCAAUAUCCAUGCUCAUGGUAUGGGGGUUCUCAAAAGAGAAGGAUAUCACCUUGAAAGCAUGUCCUUGUACGUCCUUCACAAUGCCAAAGUACAAGAAAGUGCGAUGUAGAAUCAUCGUGGUAGAAGGUGGUUCGCUCUCAAGAGCUCGAAUUGUCAACUCACGUGACAUGGAAGUUGACACGAAGUCCAAGUAUCCUACACAUGCACACAACAAAAGAAAGAACGUAUGUGCAUGGUAGAUAAACACAUCAUCCAUCAUGAUGGUUCUCUUCUCUUGCACAUAACCAUUAGAAGCACAAGUGCGUGGAGAAUAUGAUGCAACAAUGGCAAUAUUCAUGGCACUAGGUAUAUGGUGCAAAGAGGUAAGACAAGCAUGCUUCAUAAGGAAUAUGUCAAAAUCUCCAAAUAUAUGUGAGAAUGCUAUGGGGGCAAACUCAUUAUCAAGACUAAAGUCAUAAUUGCACUCAAUACAUGGCAAAUCAUCUAGCAUGAGAGAGGCAACAUAUGGAGAGAUAUGACAAGAAGCAAUAACAAUCAUGUCGUGCAAACUAGUGGAGCGAAGAUGCAACACACUAGAGGAAAUCAUGGCAAUGAUGUCAUGUGAGUAAAUAAUAGGCAUAGGCAAUGCACAUGACAUAUCGCAAGCACGAACACAAAGCAAGAUCAUAGUAUAAUCAUAGGCAUGGGGCACAAAACAAACAUGGCAAUAAUAAGUGAUAUCUCCGCCAAGCUUGCAAAUACACAUAGAAGUACUAGAAUCAAUCAUCAUGUGUAAUGCAAAGCAUGGGUCACAAAUGCAUAGCAAAGGCAUAGUAAUGAGCAUAUCAUGCAAAAUGAACAUGGCAAGAUGGGCAUAUAAUAUGUAGUGGACAAUAAACCAUAGCCAAGUGUGGGCCAAGUAGAAGAAAUGAGCGAAGUAUUUGCGCGAAGAGAGCGGUGGGGAAGGAAAUCCAUGGGAUUCCAAGUCAUCAUUGCUCUCUAGAGCUUGUUUUGUCAACUCGUGGGAUUGCGAGGUUGACAAGAAUUCGUGGGUACCUACACAAAAGAGACACAAACGAAAGAGAUUGUGUGUGUGGUAAAUGUACACAUCAUCCAUCAUGAUGUGUAUGUGCACGUGAGAGUUAUCACAAGAUAAGCAUCGCUCAAAGAAAUUUGAUGCAUGGUAUAAGAACAUGUCAUCCAUCAUGAAAGAAUAGUUAUUGUGUAUGACACGAUGGGGAUGCAAAUUGAGCAUACAAGUAUAAGGAUCAUGCAAUGGAUGGGAUGAAUCAAAAUCUCCUAAAAUGUAUGAGGAAACUAUGGGGGUCUCCUCAUGAUCAAUAUUGUAAACAUCACAUGGAGAAAAUGGACAACAUCUAAAACAAUGCAUAUCCGAAGCUAGGUGGUCAUGGCAUGUCAUAUGAGAUAAAUGAUGCAAAGGGAGCAUAUCAAUAUCAUCACAAGAAAAACAAAUGCCAACAACCAUGGGCUUGUCAUCUAUGCCAUAAGUGCAAAUUGGGUUAAUCUUAAUGGCAUAUGCAUAGUCACUAUGAAGAGAUUGCAAAUAUGACAUGUGGUCGAUCUCAUGCAUAGCAUAUGACAAGUCAAGCAGAUUGGCAAACAUGAUGUGACCAAGAGAAUUGUCACAAGAAAUCCUAUGUAACAUGGCAUCACAACUAAGAGACUCCACAUGGCAAUCAUCAUACUCAUCAUAAAUGGGUAAAUCAUCGCAUGGGGAAAUCAUACAAGCAUGAAGCAUGUCAAUAGGGGGAUCAACAUCAUGAAAGCAAUCAAUGUCAAGAAUGUCCACUAGUGGGACUAGAGCAUCACCGUCACCUAUGUUACCGUUUUCAUUCCACUCAAGUGGUGUAGGUGAGGUGGGAAAGAACAAAUGGUGGUCAUCUUCAUCUUGAUGGAACCAUGUGGGGGGGUGCAUCAUAUUCCACCAUGGCCAUCGUCUUGUCCAAGGGGAGGACGAAGUCAUCACGAAUCGGCGCAUCAUCAUAUAAGGGACCUAGCACCAAAUGAGAAGGCACAAUAGAGGUAGAGGUCAAGUCGUUAGUGUUGAAAGUGGCCUCACAUGACCUAUCAAUUAUCUCACUCUCUCUAUGUGGUGGUUCACUCACUCCCUCAAAAUAGGUGCACUCAAACUCACAUAUGGUGGAGUCACUCAUCUCACUCAAGUGGUGGGGGUUGUGGCUCUCCUCACAUGGGAAUUGUGGCAACACAUAUAUGUGGCUAGUGGUGAAGUCACUCUCACUCUCAAUAUGGUGGCACAAGUCACUCAAGUCAUCAUACGUCGCCGUGGUCGAAGGGAAAAUCCCAUGCUUAACCAUCUCGUUGUUGUCGCCGUGGAUGAAGGCCGAAGAUGGCACAUCAUCACUCUCGCCUCCUAAGAUGGAAGCAUCCUCUGUGCUCGUCACCAUGUCGCAUGCCUCCCAAGCAUGUUCCUUGAUUGGCUCCAUAGUCGUAGUCAUUGUUGCACUGUCUUGAAAAAGAGUCAUGGAGGACUCGGCAUCAUCAAUGCCAUAAAGAGGGAUGUCGGUGAAGUUGAACUUGGGAGCAUCGUCUUGGAGCUCGUAGGGCUUGGACAUCUUGGUGGUACUAUCUUCAUGCUCGUUUUCAUGGAGCUUGGUCGUCGCGAAGUGAGCUUGGGGUGGAGAAGCUUUGGCCUUCAUGAGUUCUUGUUCUGCCUUGAGAGCACCAAUGUAGUUGUCGUCGAGGGACUUGUAGUUCUCGAGGAAGAUUGUCUUGGAGAUGUCAUUGUGUAAUCCCAUCAUGAAGUGGAACUUCAUCGAAAUGGGGUCAUCCACGCCGGCUCAUCGCAAGGCAAUCUUCAUCUCCUUGAAGUACUUGUCGAUGGACUUGGAUCCUUGGAUGGUGUUAUCCAAUUGGCGUUGAAGUUGUUCUAUGUAGGUUGGAGGCACGAACUCUCGCCGCGAAGCUCUCUUCAUCUUGGACCAACUCAUGUCGUAGCUCUCCGAAGGUGUGUGAAGCCACCAUGUGGACGCGUAGUCGUGGAAGUUCCUUGUGGCGCACUUCACUUGAUCUUCGAGAGGAACUUGAUGUAGCUUGAGGUAGUCGUCCAUCAAACGCUCCCACUCGAGAUACUCCUCGGGUUCUAGAGUCCCAUAGAAAUGAAUCUCAUGGUCGGUGUCGAGGUCGUAGUAGCUCGUGGAAGUCGCGGACUUGAGCUUGGGGAGCUUCUCUUGAGCGUAGUCUUGAGGUGCUUGUUGGCAAAGAUGCCAUAUAUCCGAAGGCGAAGAUGCCUUGUUAGCACUUGGCGAAGAUGCCAAGGGAGAUGGUGAAGUCGUUGAGCGGUUGUUGGUGUUGAGCUCGUGACCUUCACGUUCGUGGUGGUGAUGGUGUCGAUGCCGAUGUGACCUUGCCGGAGAUGGUAACUCGGAGGCAUGUGCUCUUGAGUGUCUUCUCGAAGAUGAGGAAGACCGCUUGUAGGUCUUGAUGAGGGCUUUGAUCUCCUCCAUUUGAGCUUGCAUCUUGGCGUCGGUGGAGUUGUUCGCGGCAUCGACCUUGUCGUUGUUGUUGUAGACAGAAGAUGAAAUGCCUUGCCUAUCCAUCACUCCAAGAGAAAAAUGUGAGUGGUAGAAAGAGAAGAACGAAUACCAAAUGUACCUUGACCGAAGUUGAAAGUGGAUCAAUGAUCACUCCAAUGUGGACAAGGAAAUAACACAAUUGGUACCAAUUCUUGUCGGUUUCUCACACCUACACAAGUAGGGCUUAUGGUGGAGCUCGGUGAGGAUAGUGGCACAAAAAUUUAAUGCAAAAUGUUAGCAAGAGUCAAUAAUGUUGAAAGAGAUUCACAAAUUCGCAAGUGAAACAAGUAGACCAAUAGCAAUAUGUGGCACACGGAAACACACACACGGAUAGAUAAAUGGGGUCGUGCAACCAAGGAUGAGCACAAAAUGUGGAAUCCACGGAAAACACUCGUGUUGCACAACUCAAGAGAGAAGCUAGCACGAUUGCUCUAUAGGCGGAUACGACACUUGUGCACAACCUAUAAGAUGCAAAAUGGAUAACUUUCUAUACCAAGUAUGCUAUGUGUAUGAUGUUCCGGUGGUAUCAUCCAAGAUGAUCUUAUAUGCAAUGUGGUAUGAUGCUAUGGCACUUGCUCACAAGCUGCUUUGCUUUUUCUCUUUUGCUUAAAAGCUUUAUUCUCUUUUUUUGUAUGGCCACUUUGCGAAAUGCACAAACCAAGAUAGCAAUUGUGUAUAUGCGGGAACAAACUUGAGGCACACGAGAUGAUACCAUACCGAUAUGGUAUGGUAUGUAUGCAAUGUAUGGUGUAGAUCACUAAUAUGCACAAGUAACGUUGCCGGCAAUACUCAAAUGGCUAGUCUCGAUAGGCAAGUAACACAAAAUGGGCUAGGGGUUAUCAAUGCAAUGGAAAGGGAAUGUACAAUGGAGGGAUACCACGAUACCAAGAUGAUAUGGAGGUUACCGUCCGUGUCGAUGAUGAGUGGCGGUGAUCUUGAUGGAGAUACCAAGAUGAUGGGGACUCGUCCCUAAGUAGCCGAAACACCUUAGGAAACGGAAAAAUCGCGAACUCAAAAUCUCAAAUGUCAAAUGGUGGUAGCGGGAAUGCGGUGGUGGUUGCGUAAACUCAAAGGGAUUGCGGAAAUGCAAUGAUGGGUUGUGGAGUACGCAAUGCAGAAAUGGAGGGUAAGGUGGUGGACUAUACACGGUGUCGGAGUUGGAAGCACGGUCCCUAAGUAGCCGAAACACCUUAGGAGACACAACUCACAACACAAACAAAAUUGGGUUAAGUUGCGGUGGCGGAAGUGUAUUGUGGGUAAGCCUAUGCGGGAGUUAUGGUGGUGGUGGUGGUUGAUGAAGAAGCAAUCGUCCCUAAGUAGCCUAAACACCUUAGGAGACUCGAAUCACUCCUCAAGCAACCACUAAUGCGAUGGGGAACAAAAUUGGUUAGGUUGCGGAAGUCGGUGGUAGUUAUGCGGAGGUUGUGGUGGAAGCCCUAGGCAAAGAUGCCAAAGUUACAAAAAUUUGAUGGAGUCAAAUGGUUAUGGUAGUAUUUUUAUUGCAAGGGGGAUGUCAAUAGCUUUUCAACGAGCUAAAGAACGCGAAAAUCGGACUCCGGAUGAAUUAGUUAUGAAAAAAACGGUGAAACGGGGAUGGCAGAGAUGUCAGGGGCCGGACAUCCGGGCUCGUGGCCGGAAAUCCGGGACCUGAUGUCCAGAACCGUGCAGAUUUGGCGCUCCAGGAGCCGGAUGUCCGGCAGGGGACGCGGAUGUCCAGCCCGAUGGCCCGGAUGUCCGGCCUUUGGCCCGGAUGUCCGGCCCGACAAUUCCAGAUCUCAUUUGGGGCGGAAAUUUUCGAAUUGGGGGCGGAAAUUGAUGAUUCCAAGGGCAAAAUUUGACGGAUUUUGUGGAUGGAAAGUGGGGAAAAGUGGGGAUAUGCUAGAUCCACUCGAAACCAAGCAAAUCCAUGGAUCAAAAUCAACAAAACAUCAUCAAAACCAACAAAUCACAAAAAAUUUGGGGCUAUUUUUGGUGGGGAUUUUCGAAUUUAGGACGAAAUCAAGCAAAAGAAGGCUAGAAAAAGAGGGGUAGGGGAUCCAAAUUCGUGAUCAACCUUGCUCUGAUCCAAGAUGAUGUAGAGUAGAACCCUAAUCGCCCGAUCUUUCACGAAAGGAGCGGAUCCCGUGAAGAACACGAGGGGGGAAACAAGGGGAAACACGAGAGAAUCACUCAACCAACAAGAAAUAGUCACACAUGUGCUAGAUCCUCGAAUACAUAAGAGAAGACACAGGAUCCACGAUCAACUAGGGAUGAUACACAGUAACCGGUUCUUCUCCGUGAGGAGGUCUUGAAUCCACAAGGGGAUCUUCCCGUAAGGGGUCUUGAAUCGAAGGUGGAUCUUCUCCGUAGAGGGGUCGCGGUCUCUCUUGUGGAGUAGAUCCGAUAUGGAUGAGCAAAGCUCUAUCUCACAAAUGAGCUAACACAAUGCUAACCCUAACUAGGAGGAGAGGAAGGAGUAUAUAUAGUCUAAGCUACGAAGGGGCAAGUGGGAAAGGGAUACAUGAGCCUCUGGCCCGACUCUGCGUGCAGGCAGGCGCCGGAUGUCUGGGCUUGGGCCCGGAUGUCCGGCCAUUCGCGGGAGGCCGGAUGUCCGGGCUGAAGUGGCAGUUCGAGUCCUUCUCUGGAUAGGGGAUGCCAGAUUUCUGGGAGAGAUGCCAGAUGUCCGGGCGUUGCUGAGACGCCGGAUGUCCGGGCGUUGCUGAGAUGCCGGAUGUCCGAGCACACGGGCCGGAUGUCCGGCCACUGAUGCUUCGGCCGUCUGUUGGUGCAGGUCCUUGGAGGCUGCACAGGCGCCGGAUGUCCGACCGUUGUAGCUUCAGCAGCUCCGUCUUCUUCCGUCGUCGCUUCCAGGCUUCCCUCGCGGAUGGUGUAGUUGUUCCUUGGCGCUUGCACUCCUCCUCAACAUCCGUGAAGCUCCGACAAUACCUAUGCAUGCACAUGGGAGAAGUGUCAAGUAGUAUACCAUCCUCGAAGGGGUCAAGUGAGCACGUGUAAAGGAGAUGAUUCACCUUUAUGUAUGUGAAGUAGAUGUCGCACGUGUCAUUUGCCAAACGGACUCUUGACAUGGUGAUGUCCAAAGGAUGCUCCGCAUCACGGGAGGCCAAACCUGAGCCGCCCCUGCCCCGACAUAUGGUCGCCGGCGUACCCGCCGUGCCCGCCGCCGCCCGCGAAAUCCCAUGGACGCGCCCGGAGAUCCGCUUUGUCGCCCGGCCACGCCCCCGAGCGCGCCGACCCGCGCCUCUACCACUCCUCGCCCGCAGCGCCGCGCGCGCCCACGUGCUUCCCCACUGCGCUCCGCUCUGGCCCGCGCCCAGCACACCCCGCCUGCACUCGCCCGCGCCUCCCCCCUGCAUCACGCCAUCCGUCCCCCGCUCACACGCCGUGCUGCAGCUGCCUCUAGCGCUGCUGCCUGCUGCUACUAGCGCAUCGCUGCUACAGUAACAUUCAGUUACUGUACCAGUAGCUAGCUUCACCGAUUUUACACUGCCUAGCCCUCUAAACAGCCCCUAAACAGUGGCUAAACAUCUACUAGCAGGAGAAAGAAUAUUUUGGGGAGGUAGUACACUUGACAAUGUUCAGAUUUUUCCAUUGGACCAAAUCCAUUUGAUUCUUGGUUUAAAUCAUAAGAAAAUCACAAAUUUCUAAAUUCUGUUAGCGGAAAAACAGAAAACAGAAAUACUACAGUAGCCUUUUCAAACAAAGUUGUGAACAAGCAAAUGGAUGCUAACAUAACUGCACUUGUUACUAACAUGUAGAUCGUAGAGAAAUGCUCACAAUUGAUAUAAGGCACAAAAUCAUUGGACGUACAGAACAAUAGCUAUAGCCUCCGGAAAACCGCUAAGUGAUGUUAAAAAAAACUGAUGAAUUCUCAGACUUAGCAAAAUUUCAUGGAUUUUCCGGGUAUUGUUGGAUCUUUGAAAAAACUUAGAAAUUAAACCGUAUCUCGGAUGAAAAAACUUUGUAGAUGAAAGUUGCACAGAAUGACGAGACGAACUCGGAUAUGCAACCCGUUAGUCCGCCACGCCUCCCUAGCAUAGCGAACACACAACUUUCCCCUCCGUUUCAUCUGUCCAAAAAGCGGAACACCGGGAAUACAUUCCCGGAUGUUCCCCCCUUCGCCGGUAUCACCUCCUACCGCGUUAGGUCACCCCUAGCACCGCUUAUUGUCAUGUUAUGCCAUGUGAUGUUUUGAUUGCACUGUUAUUUAUUGUGUUGCCCUCCGUUACUUCUUUCCGGUAGACCCCGAGACCGCUGCCGGUACCCCUAUUGUCAACUACGGUGACGAUGACCCCUCCUUGCCAGAGCAACCAGGCAAGCAAACCCUCCUUGAGCAUUCCGAUAUCACCCAUUUCUUUCCCUCUCAUGCUUGCAUUAGAACUGCUACUGCUUUCUGUAUGAUCCUACUCUGAUGCAUAGCCUAUUUUGUUACCUGCUUUCAUACCUUACCUGCUUAUCCUAAACUGCUUAGUAUAGGUUGGUUAGAGAUCCAUCAGUGACCCCACCUUGUCCCAGUUGCCUCGCUUUAUGUUCGAUGACUCGAUCAACGUGAUUGGCGUCCAGGCCCCGACACCGCACAUCACCCCACCUAGUUGUACGACUCUGCAGAGUUACCAUCGAGUGCCGAGGGUGGAACCUCUUACAUCACUCCUGAUGAGACCUCUGUAGUGUAGCUAUCCGGUCGUGGUCAUCAAGGGUGAUUUCCUCCUUAAUCACUUCCGAUACGGCUUUGUCGUGCAACCCCUCAAGCAUGAACCUCAAGGGUGGAUCCUCUUAUGUUCACCUUGAUGACAACAUCGAGUGGAAUUCACCGGGGGUGAUUCCUCGGGUUUCCCCCUUGGUGUUAGACACACAGUUACUAUGGUUACUAUGACUUUGCACUGAGCCUUGUUACUAAAGACGGGUCGGCCCUGAGGGGUACCCGCACGAGCUUAUAGCGAGUGAUGUGGAGUUGGGUUGAUCUGGAAGGUGCCCGCAAGAUACUUACGAGGCGUGGCCGGGCAUUCUUAGCCCUUGCCGCAAGUACUCGAGACGGGGUGACGGGGUCACAUCGAUCGUGAGUCUCUGCUCGUUACCGCGUGCUCCUAAUCCACUAUGGUUUGGAUAUUUGAUCCGAGGGGCCUCUGGCCUGAUAGCACUAACCAUCACGUCGGCAUAGUAUGGGUGUCGGUGUCAAAACCGGCGGAUCUCGGGUAGGGGGUCCCGAACUAUGCGUCUAGGCCGGAUGGUAACAGGAGGCAGGGGACACGAAAUUUUACCCAGGUUCGGGCCCUCUUGAUGGAGGUAAAACCCUACGUCCUGCUCGAUUAAUAUUGAUGAUAUGGGUACUACAAGAGUAGAUCUACCACGAGAUCAGAGAGGCUAAACCCUAGAAGCUAGCCUAUGGUAUGCUUGUAUGUUAUGGCUGUUGUCCUACGGACUAAAACCCUCCGGUUUAUAUAGACACUAGAGAGGGUUAGGGUUACACAAGGUCGGUUACAAAGGAGGAGAUAUCCAUAUACAUAUUGCCUAGCUUGCCUUCCACGCCAAGCAGAGUCCCAUCCGGACACGAGACGAAGUCUUCGAUCUUGUAUCUUCAUAGUCUAACAGUCUGGCUAAUGGAGAUAGUCCGGCUGUCCAGACACCCCCUAAUCCAGGACUCCCUCAGUAGCCCCUGAACCAGGCUUCAAUGCCGAUGAGUCCGGUGCGCAGUAUUAUCUUCGGCAUUGCAAGGCGGGUUCCUUCUCCGAAUACAUCACAAAAGAAUUUGAACACGAGGAUAGUGUCCGACCCUGCAAAAUAAGUUCCACAUUCCACCGCAGAGAGAAUAAUAUUUUCGCAGAUCUAAUUUGCUGGCUUGUUUUGGCAGCACGACAUUAUGUCAUGGCCCGGUGAUUAUUUGAACUGUUUCUUUUAACCAGCUUCACACAUAACGCAAGGCGGUUUCUUGACACGUCUUGUCGAAGCGGAGAUCGUGUCCCCCCAAUUACGGGAUUCUCAUUAAUGCGGUCGUGGGUAACCCAAAAGUGUCUAGGACUCCUAGAUUAUAGGCAAGUCCUAAACGACUACGGAGAGGACGCUUGAUAUUCACCCUCUUUAUAAAGGGAUGAGGUUUUCGCUUUUUCUCUCUCGUGCUCAAUCGAACCCUUCUCCCGCCUCGAGUUCUAACACCCAAAGCCCAGGUUAGGUGCUCCGGAUCUUCAAUCAUGUCCGGAUCCAGCCUUCAAGGUCGAUGGAUGCCCUCCUCUGUUACGAAAGAGGACAUUAAGAAGUUGAGGGAGGCCAGAUACCUGACAGCCGAGGUUUCACAUCGGCUGCCUGCUCGAGGGCAGAUCGUCCCUACUCCCGAACCCAACGAGAAUGUUGUGUUCGUCUCCCACUUCCUCCGAGGUCUAGGCCUCACUCUGGAUCCUUUCGUCAGAGGUUUGAUGUUCUAUUACGGGCUAGAUUUCCAUGAUCUAGCUCCGGACUCCUUUCUUCACAUCUCGACAUUUAUUGUCGUGUGCGAGGCCUUCCUUCGCGUUACCCCUCACUUCGGUCUGUGGCUCAAGACCUUUGAAAUAAAGCCGAAGAUGAUCGAGGGGCAGCAUGUAGCGUGUGGAGGUGCAUCAAUAGGCAAGAUGGCAGGAGCUCCAUGGCUGAAAGGUUCCUUUCCAGAGGUGUCUGAAUUAUGGCAACAGGAGUGGUUUUACGUCACGGCUCCCAGAAGUGCCAAGUGGGCGGCUGCCCCGCUUUCCGCUCGGGCCCCCCACCACAACUGAUGUCAUGGAUUAGCAGAGGUCUGAGCUGGGGUCCAACCAAGGAUGUUCCUAUACUGCACAGCCCUAUCCGAGAUCUCUUCGAGGGAGAUUUUAAUUUGGUUGCGGUAAUACAAGUUAUGCUAGUUCGUCAAGUCCAGCCUUGCAAACGCCGGCCCCUUCGCUUGUGGGAGUUCAACCCAGAGGGACCACGUGCCAUUCAAAGUUUCCUCGGCCUAACGCACGAGGAGAUGUACAAGUCAUUCUUCGGACCUCAAGUAGAAUGUCCGGAUAUUACCGAGGACGUGGGCCUAAGCAGUAACCGCGCCGCCGAACAAGUAAGAAAUCAUCUAGCCGAACACAUUGUUUUUAUUUGAAGUUAUUUCUAAGAGUUCGCUUUUUGACCAGGACUGGCUAACAAAGGUGAAGAUGAUUCGGUGUUUGGCCCCCCUCCCUGGGGGUUUGGAAAAUCCGGUUUUGGAAAAGAUGCUCGAGGUCGCACCUUGCCCGGAGCCCUUGAAGGAAGAUACCGGGGGGAUAAUACGGGCGGAUGCGGGCCCCCAUAGCUGCCCAUUCCAACCGAGGGAACGAGCGUCUCCACGAAGGAGGACGACCGGGGGAGGAAAAGGACUGCUUCCGAGGAUCCGGAAGCCGAAGCCUCCAAACGGGAGAAGAAGUCUCCCACAGAGGGUCCUGCCUCGGGGGGUGCUUUUGCCGCACAAAGUCCGCGGGGGGAUCAGCCCUCCAACGAGUCGUAAGUGAUCCAAAAUACUUUAAUAGUAAAGGUAUGCUAUCCUUUUUCCCUGAGAAAAUAACCACCGCAUAUAUCUUGAAGUUCGGGCCUUAGCCCCUCUCAGAUGAGCUCGUCUUCGGGGGAUCUUCUUCCAGAGAUGAUGGAGAGAGAAACGCCUCCCCCAGACUCCUCCGCUCCAGAAGAGGGCGACCCCGAAGUGUCGUCAUGGAGGGCCUCUCCGGAUCCGGUGAGGCCAGAAGAUAAUCCCAUAGACCCUCGAAGUCCCCAUUGUCCGGCUCCCAAAGAGAGCAGACAAAAGAGUCCGGCACAGUCUGGUGUGCGGUCGGACGUUCUGAGGGAGUUGGUGGGGCGAGCGGCCAUCUCAGAAGAACACCAUAUGCUGAUGGGUACGGAUGGAGAGAAUCUCGUCCGCCGAAAGCGGAUUACAUGAAGCCUUUAUGAGUCUACUGACACGCUUUGAGGUACGUGAGAUAAUAUGUGAUAGUACUGCACAUGUUAGGUGUGCCCUGUGUAGAUAGUAGCUCCUGAGACUGUGGUUGUCAUCGAGAAUGGCGGCGAACAGAGGAUCAUAUUCCCAGGCAAUAACCAGACUGCCCCUAUGUGCAGAUGGUGGAAGCUCCGGUGGCUAGCCGGACUAGUGAGUUUGCCAAAUUAAAACGACAAUUGGAUGCGGCAGACACCGACAUCGAGCUUGUUAACAAGAGGCUUGACGAGGCACAGGGUAAGUAUUAUUAUCUUGGUGAAUGCCACAUAGUAAGAGCAGCAUGAUGCCAGUAUCUUUAAUAUGUUGUGACUGCAGAUGGAGCUGCCACCAUGGAAACCUUGCGGGUAGAACUUGCUCGAGCCAAGGAACAAGUGAGGAUUAGUAAUGCCGCUGCUUUGAAAGCGGCCGAAGAGUUGAAAGCCGAGAAGGCCGCACAUUGCGAGAGCCAAGAGAAGAUGGCCAAGAUGGCCGUAGAAUUAAAAGACACUGCCGACCGUUGUCGGGUUCUUGAAAAAGAAAACCAAGCGAAGGCAAUGGACCUUGAGAAGGCCACGACGGUGGACAAAGACACCUGUUCUGCUAUGAGAGCGAAGAAGGAGGAACUGCGGGAAGCCGGGGAUAUUGUGGCUGGGAAACCCUUCAUGUUAUGGAGGAAGUUCGGAGAUCGACGGCAUGCCCCUCUAGAUCGGCUGUGGAGUUCGGCAGAUGCGUAUAUGGAUUUGGCGGCGAGCGCUGCCGACGCGGCCAAGUACUUCCAAGGUCAAACAGAUCGUGAAGUGGACAAGUUGUUCUGGUCGCAAUUCCACGUUCCAGAGCGUCCGCUUUCAUUGACUGACCAGCUAGCCGAAUGGGCCGAACUGAAUAGGUUGUCCGGACUCGCCAUGAGGUUUGUUGUGGAUGAUCUAUGGCCGGAAAAGCCAAAGCCGAAUAGCUAUUUCAGCUUAGUGCAAUAGUUCCUUGGUGCGGUGCCACGCAUUAAUGUGAUGAAGAGGUCAGCGUGCAUAGAAGGCUCGCGGAUGGCCCUUGCCCGUGUUAAAGCAUACUGGGCAGAGAUGGACGCUACCACUGUUGCGGCGCAGGGUUCGGCCAUAGGCCGAGUGGCUGCCGAGCACUAUUUCGAGGAGGUUAUCGAGGGUGCUCGUUUGAUAGAGGCCUAGUGCUCGAAGAAUAUUAUGUUUGAGUGAUAUGUAUUCUCAUUGUAAACACAAUGCUUUUAUGAAGUUUUUAUAAGGCUAUGUUUAUACUUUUUCCUGAAAGUAGUAUGAUGCCUCCUGUGUGGCCGUUUAUGUAUACAUGUGUAUAACCUGAAAGAUUGCAGCCGUCGGCUUCAACCCCCACGCAUAUAAUGCGGAGGUGCUCCCAAAAAUGCGUGUUCACACUUAACCCAACGUCUUGGUCCUAUUAAGGAGGUGAUAGCGUAGCGAGCGAGGCAACCGGACUAUAAUGCUUUAACACUUUCACUUAGCCAUAGGAGUUUGACAGUGGGGCUACUAGAUAGCCCCUGGUGGCUCCGCACUCUCCCGAUCGCGGGGUGCGUACAUGCAUGGCCGGAAAACGGCCCUUCGUUAAGGCGGAGGAAUUCUAACAUUCCGAUAGGUCAUCGAGUGGUUGACCAGUCUCACGCUAUAUCAUGACAGUCAGUUUUCGACUUUCUCUACUGAGGUGCUUGUCUAGAUGAACCAGUGCACAAUCACAGUAGUUCUCCUGGUGCUACCUUAGCCGGUAAAGCGGAACAUAAGGCACCAAAACACAGGAGCCGGGCAAACCCAACAUUUGACCAAAGACAAUGAUUCAGAGCUGAUGCAUAUAAGGCCAAACUCGCCACGCCGAACACUCCCUAAGGUAUUCGGUCUUUAUGGUAUAAACCGGGCCUAAAUAAUGCCCUUCGUAAGAAGCCCCUUGUGUCCAGGUACGUGCAUUAUUCUGACGUGGCCACAUGCCAAGAUGUCAGCAUCCUUCUCAACUGCGCUGAGAAUGCGGUGGAUAUGUAUCAACAAGAGACAGUAAAAAAAGGUUUACGCAGGGUCUUAAUCUAAAAAGAAUCCUUGGAGCGGGUCCCUGAUGCACGUCUGCGCCUGUGUCUCCAUUGUGUCGUAUCCUGGACGGGUGUAGCACGACGAUCAUCUGUAAAAGAGAGGAACUUAGGUGAAAAAGUUGUCGUGCGAAAAGAUAGUUUUUAAAGAAACCAUAUAUAAUUCAAGAUGAGUAAAAAUUGCCACUUGUCUGCGCGUGUUGAGCCCCUUGUAUUUGUAAUAGGGUGUGACCAUUGAUCCGGUAUAAUUUACAUAUAGCUGCACCGGACUCGACUAACCGUGUCCGAGGUCUUGACAACUUGUUAAAUGCUUUAGUUGGUGAGGCCGUUUUUAGUGUGCGGCUGCCAAGGCAGCCGUACUCUCUUCGGCGCACAAAGAUCACUUAAUACUUCCGUUUACUAUACUGAUGCCAUGUGGGUCGGGCAUCUUGAGUGUGAGGGAAUCAUAGUGCGCUAUUGCAUUAAAGUGAGCGAAAGCUUCGCGUCCGAGUAGUGCGUGAUAGCCACUUUGGAACGAAGCGAUGUGGAAGGUUAAAUGUUCGCUACGGAAGUUAUCGGGGAAUCCAAAUAUAACUUUUAGUAGCAGGGAGCCCGUGCAAUGAGCCCCUGGGCCUGGCAUUACUCCUUUAAAGGUAGUAUUGCUAUGGCAAAUUUUUGUUGGGUCUAUCCCCAUUUCGCGGAUUGUAUCCUGAUAUACCAGGUUUAGACUGCUGCCACCAUCCAUCAGGACUCGUGUGAAGUGGUAUCCGUCAAUUAUUGGGUCUAAUACCAGGGCAGCCCAUCCUGCACGCCGGAUACUUGCUGAGUAAUCACGAUGGUCGAAAGUGAUCGGUUGAGACGACCAGUGGCAGGACUCUGCGGUGAUCGGCCCUUGGGCAUAUUUUUCUGGGAGUGCCGUUUUGUUUCUUCCCUUGAUCACGUGUAACACGUUUACUAUUUUGACUUCUGGGGGGAAUUUCUUUUGUUCCCCAGUGUCUUGCUUGAGAGGCUCAUCCUCGUCUUCGCUUGGUGUAUCCUCCCCCUUGUGUACGGCGUUGAGCUUGCCGGACUGCUUGAAGACCCAACAUUCUCUGUGGGUAUGAUUAGCAGGUUUACCAGGGGUGCUAUGGAUCUGACAUAUUUGGUCCAGAAUUUUGUUUAGGCUGGACAGUUUGUCUCUGGCGCCUUUAGAGGGCGGCUUUUGCUGACCUGGUCGAGAGCUUUUGAAUCCGGCAUUUACUACCGUGCUCUUCGUGCUGUCUUCUUUAUUCCGGCAUUUGUUAUUGCUGUUGCACCGUGAUUUCCCGUUUCCAUCUCUAACUUCAGAUGUACUGGGGUCGCUGGUGCUGCAUCUGGCUAGCUAGCUGUCCUCACCCGCACAAAAGCGGGUCAUGAGGCUUGUUAAUGCUGCCAUUGUUCUCGGCUUUUCUUGGCCGAGGUGUCUGGCAAGCCAUUCGUCACCGACGCUAUGCUUAAAAGCUGCCAUGGCUUCGGCGUCUGGACAGUCGACAAUUUGGUUCUUUUUAGUAAGAAACCUAUUCCAAAGUUUUCGGGCUGACUCUCCGGGCUGUUGAGUUAUAUGACUCAAAUCGUCCGCGUACGGAGGUCGGACAUAAGUCCCUUGAAAAUUUGCUCGAAAAGCGUCUUCGAGCUCUUCCCAGCUUCCAAUGGAGUUUUCGGGGAGGCCUUUAAGCCAGUGACGAGCUGGCCCUUUGAGCUUGAGGGGAAAGUACUUGAUGGCGUGGAGAUCAUCUCCUCGAGCCAUAUGGAUAUGGAGGAUAUAGUCCUUAAUCCAGACCCCAGGGUCUGUUGUUCCGUCGUAUGCCUCUAUGUUUACGGGUUUGAAUCCCUCUGGAAAUUCAUGGUCCAGCACCUCAUCGGUGAAACAUAGGGGGUGUGCGGCACCCCUGUAUCUGGGUGUACCGCGUUGUUCGGAUGUUUGUUGUGUUACAUUGUAUGCUGGGGAGCGCUUGGGUGGUCCAUAGAUGGAUCUGGUUGCGCCGUCCAUUUGGUGCGAGCCCUCGCGUGGAUUGCGUAUUGUCUUGUGAGUGGCAUUGUUUGCCGCUCUAUGUUGGCCGUGAGGUCGUCUAUCCGGCUAGGUGGCUGUUUUGAUUUUUGGUUGUGGGGGGUCUGAGGCCUCCUCAUCGAAUUCAGGUAGCAACUUCCGCUUUGGGUAGCUCUUGGUGGGGCGAUUGUCGCCGUACUUCGCUGUUGUGUUGAGUACUUUACUCCAUCUGAUUUGGAGUGUGUCCUACGCAGCCUUGAGCCUUUGCUUCUGCUUUUUCAGACUCCUCGCGGUACCAACAAGCCUUUGACGGGCAUUCUAUUGCUCCGGGUGCCUGUCCGGCGUUAUGUCGUCCGGACUAUUAUCUUUGACAAAAUUGGUUUGUUCGGUUUGAUUCCCCGUAUUGCCGUGGUCCGGCAGUGGUUCGCCCUGCUCCAACACUGGGUCUGUAUGAUCGUUAUUUCUGCCGAUGCGGGAUUUGGGGCGGCGCUUGCGCUGCCGCUUUGACUGCUUCUCGAGGGAACAAGCCUUCGGUGCGUCCUUCCGUUCCUCGUCGUCGUCUUCUUUUGGUGUGUCCACCAUGUACAUGUCAUAUGAUGAAGUGGACAUCCAGCGCCCUGUGGGCGGUGGUUCCUCUUCGCCUCCCGCAUCGUCGUCCAUACUGUCCAUGUCUUCAGAGUCGAAGUCGAGCAUGUCGGUUGAGUCAUCGACAGUGGCUAUUAAGUGGGUGGUGGGUGAGCAUCAAAUUUCUUCGUCGUCCGCAUCCCAAUCCUGUUGGCCAUAAUCCGGCCAGGGCUCUCCUGACAAAGAGAGAGACCUUAGUGAAUUUAGAAUGCCGCCGAAGGGCGAGUGCUGAAAGAUAUCCGCGGCGGUGAAUUCCAUGAUCGGCACCCAAUCGGAUUCGAUUGGCAGGGGCGCGGAUGGUUCGGAGUCCGGAAAAGAGUCCGGCACCUUGGAGUCACGGGCUGCACAGACUGUUAGGCUACUGUUCGGCUCGAUCGCCGUUGAGACUGCAGCUCCUGAGGCGGUGUCUAACCACCCAUCCUCGACUGGCGCAGUUGGCUCCGAGCUAAGGGUCAGAGCUGAUGCGGGCGCGGCCUCUUGGGUACUGUCCGGCGGCAGAGCUAGGUCAUACCCAUCGCGACAGUGCGGCGCACCCGGCUGUGGCUCGAAUCCGUUGAAGAUCAAGUCUCCGCGGAUGUCGGCCGUGUAGUUCAAACUUCCAAAUCUGACCUGAUGGCCAGGGGCGUAGCUUUCAAUCUGCUCCAGAUGGCCAAGCGAAUUAGCCCGUAGUGCAAAGCCGCCGAAUACGAAGAUCUGUCUGGGGAGAAAAGUCUCACCCUGGACCGCAUCGCCAUCGAUGAUAGUAGGAGCCAUCAAGCCUAAUGGCGACGACACAGAGGAACUCUCAAUGAAAGCAUCAAUGUCGGUGUCAAAACCGGCGGAUCUCGGGUAGGGGGUCCCGAACUAUGCGUCUAGGCCAGAUGGUAACAGGAGGCAGGGGACACGAAGUUUUACCCAGGUUCGGGCCCUCUUGAUGGAGGUAAAACCCUACGUCCUACUUAAUUAAUAUUGAUGAUAUGGGUAGUACAAGAGUAGAUCUACCACGAGAUCAGAGAGGUUAAACCCUAAAAGCUAGCCUAUGGUAUGAUUGUAUGUUAUGGCUGUUGUCCUACGGACUAAAACCCUUCGGUUUAUAUAGACACCGGAGAGGGUUAGGGUUACACAAGGUCGGUUACAAAGGAGGAGAUAUCCAUAUACGUAUUGCCUAGCUUGCCUUCCACGCCAAGUAGAGUCCCAUCCGGAGACAAGACGAAGUCUUCAAUCUUGUAUCUUCAUAGUCUAACAGUCUGGCUAAUGGAGAUAGUCCGGCUAUCCGGAGACCCCCUAAUCCAGGACUCCCUCAAUGGGUGUUCUACAUCGUAUACAUCAGCCGAAGCUUAAUAGACAUCAGCGACAGAGCGGCGCGCGCCGGGUUGGACUACUUAAGCUCCUGCCUUGUUGAAGGAGGUAGCUAGGUCUGCUCACCGGCCGCCCACGCAACGUGCAGGAGUUCCUGGGGCGAUGGCCCAUGACCCCUGGGGGCAUAGGUUUAGUCUGGCGUGUUGGCCUCUCUAUUAAGCCUAGGUCGGGUUGCGGCGUAUUUUUUGGCCGAGGCCGGGCAUGACCCAGGAAAGUGUGUCCGGCCGGAGUUAAUCGAGCGUGGUGGGUAAGUUGGUGCACCCCUGCAGGGAAGAACACAUCUAUUGAUAGCCUGUCCUACGGUAACGGACACUUGGAGUUGUAUCCCGAUCGAUAAAACUAGAACUGGAUCCUUGUGAUGAGGACUGGAUGGUGAUGAGAGUUGGAUUGUGAUGAUAACUGGAUAGUAUGGCUCUGGGAUUGCUUUCUCACAGGGAGUCGAGAAAGGAUCUCUGGCCGAGGUUGAUAACACUACUACUUUACAUUAUGUUGAUCUGUGCUCUUCUAUAUGCUUGAAGAUGCUAGUCUUCGAUAGGCUAGGCCUUUCCCCUUCUUUCUAGCAUUCUGCAGUUUAGUCCACAGAUACAACCCUUUUUCCUUUGAUACAGAUGCAUACUUCGUUUAGAUCUGAUGUAAGUCUUGCAAGUACUUUGGAUGAGUACUCACGGUUGCUUUGCUACUUCUUUUCCCCCAUACCCGAUUGUUGGGACCAGAUGACGGAUCCCAGGAGCCAGACGACGCCACUGAUGACUACUACCCGGAGGAUGCCUACUACUACGUGAAGACCGCAGACGACAAGGAGUAGUCAGGAGGCUCCCAGGCAGGAGGCCUUGCCUUUUCGAUCAUUGUUGCUUUUUGUGCUAGCCUUCUUAAGGCAAUCUUGUUUAACUCAUGUAUGUACUUAGAUAUUGUUGCUUCCGCUGACUCUUGUGUAUUCGAGUUGAUGUA
rnacentral:lncRNA from 1 species